rnacentral:lncRNA from 1 species
UAAAAAUGAUUAAUGUUGACUUGUUUUCAUCAACUAAAUAUUAAAUAUUCAGGUUAAUAUUAGGAUACAUAAUAUAUAAACGGUUAUAAAAAAGAAAUUUUAAAAAUAAGAAUUUAUAUUACACUAGGGCAAAUCGAAUUACACAAAUGUAUACUUUUAUACCAUUGGUGUAUAAAAUUAAAAUAAAAUAAUAUUUUAGUAACCUCGUCAAUAUGACUGAUAUUUUAGUGAGUGACAAAUAUGAUAGUAGUUAAACAUGUGCCUUUUCUCAACCUACCAAACUAUUUCAUUAUAAUUUUUCCAAAAUUGUCCAACAAUAUUAUCUUAAUCUACCACAAGUUUGGCCAAUUCUUAAAAUAUUUUACCUAUUCUCUCUGUGAAAACCUUUUUUAAAAAUUAAUCCACUUAAUAACAUAUCAAAUAAUGAAAAAAGUACCCAUUUUUUUUGUUUGAAAAUCCAAAAAAUAAAAUAAAUUGAAUACGUGUUGUUUACAUAUACGGCAGUUAAACGGAUCUAGACAGAUAAUCACGCGAAGCAUUAGAUUGAAAUGUCAUAUUUAACCUUCAACCUUUAUCCGACUCCUUUGGUAGGUCGUAUUAAAUAAAAUAAUCCAUAAAUUAAAAGUUAGUCCAGUUAUGUAUAAUGUUUGGUUGCUCAAUUUAAAUUUGAUCUCACCUAAUACAUGGAUAGCUAAUACACCAUAGAGGGGUCGUUUGGUAGAGUGUAUAAGAUAAUACUGAAUAGGUUGUAUUAAUAAUGUUGUGAUUAGUAGUGCAAAUAUUAGUAAUACUGAGAUUAUUUUUUAUGCAGUAUUUGGUUUGAUGUAUUGAAAACAAUAUGUAUUGUUAUAUUUUAAAAAGAAUAUUGUAUGUUUACAAAAAUACCCUUUGACAUAUUAUAACUUUGUCUAUUCUUUGCAAAACUUUUUUUUUAAAAUAAAAUAAAAAAAAAAUAUAACUAAUUAUUUACUUUGAAAUUUUAAGAUUCAAUUAUUCACUUAUAUAUUUUUUUUUGUUAUCUUUUCUUUAUUUGUUCAUAAUUUUUUUGUUGUUUCCACGUUGUGAUGUUCUUAUGUUGGAGGAAGAUACGUGUAACUUUUGAACGAGACAAUAGAAUUAUUAUUGAUAUAAAUUUGUGUUCCGUAGAGUGCAUGUUAAAGCUAAGUAGAAAAAAAAUAUUUUUAUUUAUGAUAUCCUAUUUACAAAAUUAAAGUUUGUAUGCAAUCAUACAAUUUAUUUUCGGAUUGUGACCAAUAAUUAUUUUUUAAGUUAAUGGAGUAAUUUGUUUAUGACUAAAAUUAUUUGGAGGGAUAUUAUUAUCUUGAUAAAAUGAAAAGAAAUAACUCACAUUGAAUAAAUUGAAAAGAUUUAGAAAAAAAAUUAAAGAAAUUUGAGGGCAUUUUUGUAUUGACACAUAUUUAUCCAUGGAUUAUUAAUCCCACCAAGUUGGGUGUAUUAGUUAUACAACCUAUAAUACCAUGUAGGGUGUAUAACUAAUCCAUGUAUUAGUUAUACAUAGCUUCAAAAUUGCUACCAAACAAUGUACUAAGUAAUCCCAUCAUUUAAUCCAUGGAUUAUGAAAAUAAUCCAUCCUACCAAACGGGUCCAGAGUGUAUUAUCUUAUCCCUAAGAAACCAUGGGAUUACUUAUAUAUGGAUAAGAGAAUGAAAAUGACUCAACUAUCCUCCAUUCUUUUUAUUAAAUUUUUUCUUUUAGUUUUAUUUUAAAUUUAAUCACUACAAAUUUGAUUGUUAUGUUACAUUUAAUUUGCCAACUUUUUUUUACUUUGCGUAUGCGGAUCAAGUGCUUAAAUAUCAUUUAUUCCCUUAUGUUGGUUGAUAGUUUCGAAUUUGAACUAAAUUUAUGCUAUUUUGUAAUUGUUCAAUUUACAGACAGAUUAAUUUAAAUAGAAAAAAUUAUUGUCAAAUAAAUAUAUAAUUUGAAAAUCUAAAAUUAUAUUAUCAACAGUCCGUGAUGUUCUUACAUUGUGUGCUUUACAUUUUUUAAAAAUUAUUUCUCUAUAAUAUGAUAAUUAUUUGUUUGUUUUAAUUUUUUCUUGAUUAAAUAGACUCAAUUUUUUUUUAAAAAAUAAAUGAUCAACUAAGCGGAGUGAGAAUUAUUAUUCAUAUUUUAGUUUUUUUAAGAUCGCGCAAAGCGUGAGCAACUUGACUAGUUAAAUGAAGUAGAAAAUCUCAUAAAAAUUUAAGGGUAUAAUUGUAAAAAAGAUUUUGUUGAGUUUUAAAAUACAUGAUAUAUCUAGUGUUUAAUACAAUGAACCAAACACUUGAUAAAAAAUAAUUCAUGUAUUACUAAUCCCUGCAUUACUAAUCCUUGUAUUACUAAUCCCUGUAUUGUUAAUCCAUGAUAGCUUCUCUUUGUACCAAACGACCCCUUACUGUGUUUGGAUAGUUGUUAUGUAUUAUUACAUAGUGUAUCGUAUUAUGUUGUCUUAUACUGUGUUAUUUUAACGAAUAUAAUAUUUAGAUAGAUUGUAUCAUUUUUUAUAGUUACAUAAUCUCACGUAAAUUCUAUCGUUUUUUAUUGUUACAUAAUGUCACGUAGAUUAUAUCAUUUUUCAUUGUUACAUAAUCUCACAUCUCAAAUUUGAAGAAUAAACCUACUAAAAUGGUAGGGUACGAGGUACAUAGGACUGAUAUAAAGAGGUAUAGGAUAAAAAACAAAAUAAAAUUAUUAAUACUAAAAUAUAAAAGUAUAGUGAGUGAAAAAAAUGCAAGGCAACGAAGUGAUCCCACCAAAUUAAUAAUAUAAAAUGAGAUUUUCGCGUUACCUAAUAAUGAAGCUAAAUGAUACGAUGCCAUAAAAUUUUACUAACAAUUAGAACAAACAUAGUAUUUAGUAACAAUAAAAUAAGAUGGUAAUACCAUCCAAAACAUACUGUAACUAUGCAAGAAGUCAUUUGGUAGCUAACAAAGAGGUAAUUUAUUCAUGUAUUAAUUUCUGCUAAGUUAUAUAAUGUUUCAUAGUUAAUCAGUGAGUAUAUUAUUUAUGUAUAAAAUUUACAUAAUAUUUGAUUUACAAUUAAGAAAUUUGCAUAACUAAUACAUACAUACGUUAUGAAGAAAUUUGUGUGUUAUCUCACACGAAUCAUCAAGAAGAUUGAACAACUAACCUAACAAGCUGCCAAGAAACCCCUGAAGGUCCACGGCCCAAACUGGUACAAAAACUUAAGGGCAUUUAUGUAAAUGAACCUCAUUAUUAUAAUUCUUAAAAUAAACAAAAAAAUAUAUAUUAAUCCAAUUUUUAAAAAAGAAAAAGUAACGCCGUCAGAUUGCGUAUCUACCGGAAAUUCAAAUUAAACGGUGAUCGGCGUUUUCUCCGGCGAGGGCCGGGGCCCACAUGGGCCUUUUUAUUUUUCCUAUAAAUAGGGCUCUCCCCACUCUAUUCUUUUCACUUGCAUUCUUUUUCUCCUCUCUCUCUCUAAAAACGCUCUCUCUCUCUCUAGAGAUUUAUACAAAGCACACCAACUAUAUAGCAAAAAAUAAGAGAAAUUUAUUAUUAUAUUUAAUUUAAAAUUUUAUUUAUUUAUUAUUAGUAUUUUUUUUCCUUUUUUUUCCUUCUGUAUUUGACCCUCUCUAGAUUUCUUGGUGCUGUUUGGAGGUACUUUUCCUUUCUCUCUCUUUCUCUCUCCACACAAUUUGAUUAAUAAUUAAUAAAUUAUUCAAUAAUAAUAAUAAUUGUAAUAAUAAUAGAGUGAACAAAAAUAGAUCGAAUUAAUUUUGUAGCAACCAAAAAAAAAUAGAUCGAAAAAGUGAGUAAGUUGUGUUUGAUCUGGGUGAAUGAAUAAAUAUGAAUUUGAAUAUUUAUUUGGUAAAUUCACUAAGGGUUAAUUUGGUUUUGUAUGAUUUUUGUUAUUUUUUGAUUGUUGGAAACCCUAAUUUGAAUUGGUAAAAAUUGAAUCUGUUUGAUGUGUAUUUUUUAUUUGGAAAAAUUUGAUUGGUAGGGGUCAAAAUCUGGUACAAAUCUUAAAAGGGUUAUUAGGGGUGAAUUAGUUGGGUGAUAGUUGUUAGUUGUAUUAUUUAAUUUUCUUGUGUGUACUGAGUGUAGUUUUGUUCACAUUGGUUGGAUUUGUUUUUGAUGUAUCAUUUAUUUACUGUUUGUGCAUUACUUACUGUAUAUUUUACUGUGGGGAAUUUGGAAAGCUAGGACUAUUUUGAUGAGUUUGUACUUGUGGAUGUGUGGGGGAGUCGAUUGAUAUAUGCGAAAGAUUGAAGAUAGGGUUUGUUAGAUAUAGUUUUUAUUAGGGGAUUAUGGUUUUAUAUUAUGUAUCAAGCCAUAGAUCUAUUGGAAUGGUAUGAGAUAAGGUUGGCAUACAGAUUUUUUAUGCAUUUGGAUAUAGUCUAUUUUGCUGAUUGAAAAACCAUGUGUAUAAUAUAGGCACGAAUCACUCUAAGAAUGUGGACUAGUGGUCUAUGAAGUGGGUUGCGAACCAUGAGGUCUUAGGUUUAAAUCCCAAACAUAGAUGUCCCAUCUGUCCCAACCUUGGUGGAUGGAAUUACGUGGUACCUAUUGCUGGUGGGAGGUGACAGGUAUCUCAAAGAAUUAAUUGAGGUGCACGCAAGCUGGUACGGAUAACACAAUUAUUUAAAAAAAAAAAAAAAGAAAUAUAGGCCAAGUCUUGGAAAAAACUACUACUUUUUUGGUAUUUGUACAGUCUAAUUAAUCUUUGUUGCCCAUGUUCUUAUCCUCUUAGCCCCCCUGUAGUUGCUUUUCCUUCUUCUCGUAUUUGGUUGUUGAGGCCCAUAGUAAUUGCUAGCAUGUUGUUGCAUAAGAGUUGAACUUGCACAUACUUUUAGGGCUUGACCUUGGCGAUGAAUUUUCAGUAUCUUUUGCCUUUUCUUUAUUGUUUGAUUGAUUAUGACCCGAUUAAUCUUUGUGAUACUGUAACAAUCAUUAUGAUUUAAGAAUUUAACUCCCCGUUCAUGGCUUAUGCCUUUUUUUUUUUUUUUAAAUCUGCUGAAAGAUGAAUUGCUGAUUAAGAUAAUAAUUUGAUCAUGCAGGCUAUUAAUAUACGUUCCCGUUUUAAGACAUUGCAGCUGUAGCCGUGAGUGCUGACUGCUACUAAAGCAAUUCACUUGCUUCAUGUUUUUAAUAUUCCAAAUAGACAAGGAUGAUGUAAACCUUAUGCUGUAGAGUGGAUUGCAAAUCUAUGUUUUUGAUGCUGUGACAUUUGUCCCUUAAUAAGUUUAUUGUGUUCCCCUAAUUGCGGUCUUUCUUGCUUUUAAUGUUAUUUGAGCAAUAAAGAGGUUAGAAUAUUUGCCAAUAGCUCUGCGCGAAUUAAAUAUUAGCGAGAGGUGGUGAUAUAAGCUCUUUUUAUUCAGUGUAUAUGCAAUUAUAUUUGAGAUGGGUUCUAAAGGAAAGGUAUUAUUUGAUCUUAAUGAACCGCCUGCCGAGGAUGACCAAGAUAGUGAUGGUGUCCUCUGUCUCCAGCCUCGGAGAGCAGUUCCUUCUUCUAGUACAAACACUUCUGAGUUUUUGGCAUCCUCUGUUGAUCCUCCGGGGAUAGUAAACAAUCAUGCAUUUUCCCAUGCCUCUUCCGUUUCAGGUUUUCAGCCCUUUGUUCGAUCAAAAGGUGCAGAGGCAUCUAGAGAACCUGAGGAUCAGAGGACUGCUGGACCCUCAACUUCGGGUGGUGCUUCAUUUUCUAAAUCAAAUCAAGAAGACACAAUGAAGGCUUUGCUGCAGCCAGAUCUAAACUCUUUUGAUAUGCAAGUGGCUGAAAAGGAAGAAGGUGAAUGGUCUGAUGCAGAGGGAUCAACAAAUGCAGAUAAAAGUUAUGGUUUCAAUGAUAAGUCGAAUACUGGUGUUGAUAGAGCUUUGCAGGAGAAAUCAGCAGUUGAGCCGGUGAGCAAUAAUGAUAAAGUUGGCUCUGUCGAUAAUGCUUCUCGGGAUAAUGAGAAACGGAACGGUGAAAAUUACAAUGUUUCUUCUUUAGAAUUAGACCGAGAUACAAAUGACAGGAAAAGUAAUAGCAGAAAUUCUGAAACCAGUAGUAAAGGUGAUAUCACCAUGGAUGGUCAGGAGGAUUCUGGGCAGGUGCCAAAGCAUAGAGAGAUUAGAGGUGUUGAGGCAAUUCAUGCACUAAAGUGUGCUAACAAUUUUGGUAAGCGCCCUAAGAUUGACCAGCAGAAGGAAGCGAUGCUGGGAAAGAAGCGUAGUAGGCAGACCAUGUUUCUUGAUUUGGAAGACGUUAAACAGGCAGGUUCUCAAAAAAGUACCACGAGGCGGCAAAAUUUUCCAGCACCUGUUACAACUCGUACUGUAAAAGAGUCUCGUAAUGUUCCUCCACCUUCUGAAAAGAACGUGGAAAAGCAGAGUCAGCUACUUGUGAAAGAUGUGAAACAAAUUGAUUCAACUAAUGAAGGAAACUUGCCUAUGGAAUCUAAUGAUUCUAAAUCUGAAUCCAGUGCUGAUGUGAACCUUGCACCUCUAGGUCGGCCAAGACGGAUGAAUAGUUCUACUGACCUUUUGUCUGAGGCUCAAACACAACCUAUGCCUAGACAAGGUUCUUGGAAGCAUCCCACAGAUCAGAGACAAAAUAGAAACUCACAGUUUCCUGGUAGGAAGCCUGCUCUGACCAGUCAAAAUUCCAUGGAUACAAAAUUGGGAGCCAAAAAACCUCCAUCCAAGAAGCAACCUGUAGUAAGUAGCCUGUGUCUAGAUACAUCUGUAGAACGCCUUAUUCGCGAGGUGACAAACGAGAAGUUUUGGCAACAUCCAGGUACUUUUGUGUUCCACUUGAUUAUUAUUCUCAUCACUGUGGUUAUUACCACUACUUUUUGUUGAAAAUAUUCAUUACUCUUCUGUCUCGGAGAUUUCAUUCUUCUCUGUGCUUUUAAAGCUAUGCAACAUAAGUGUAUAACCCAUCCCUAUUGAUUCUUGUUUGAUGUAUAUCCAGAUUUCCAGUGCCUCAACUAGGUUUUAAUUGAGAGCAUUGCUCUUACUGUGCCUAGUAAGGUAUGUGAUGGGAGAUGAGCACUUAUAUUGAUUCGUCUUAGAUUUUCAUAGUUAGUUCUCCUGUUAGAGGUUAAGGAUCAAAAUUUGCAUUUCCCUCGAAUAUUGUUGGAAUGAGUGGUGUGCAAAUCCUUUACUUUUUCUUGUGUUCUAUAAGACUGAUUGUGUCGUGAGAUAGUAUGGAAUUCAUCUUUGCUUUAGGUUAUAAUCAAAGAAGCAAGUGUGUGUUUUUGCCCACUGGGCACUGUACCUAAGUGGUCAUUCAAAAUCUGAUUAACCCUUUAAACUUCUUUUGUGUUGUAUUUCUCAUUUUUCGAGUGUUCUGGAUCGUAAAACUUUCUGUUUUCAUUGGAAAGCUUGUAAACUGGUAUCGUUUUACCAGCUGAACAUUGUCCCAUCUCUCUUUCUUGUAUGAUUUCUCAGUUCCCUUUUGAUGAUGUAAGCGUGUUCAGUAAUUUAUGUUUUAUACUGCCACUUUCUUCUGGGUUGUUUUACUGGCCAUAUUUAGCAUCCUGUUCUAUGGAAUGCUUGGUGAGGCAGGAUUUACUGUUUUAGUUUAUUAAGUGGUGGUGUUUAUAUUACUCAGGCCCAUGCAUAGCAAAGGGGAUCCUCCAGCUUCAUCUGGUGGGCAUCUCAAUCAUCAGGAUUGCUUGUGGGAUGGAAGAUCUUUUGUGUUAUCUCAAAGAUGGCUAUAUAAUUAUUAGUGUAUUUUUCAUGAUCUCUAUGACUAACCUGUUCAUAUUUAUUGGGAUAAAGUUGUGAAUAGAUUUUUGUGUUCGCUAAUUUUAUUAUGUAGUGCUCCCAUUUGCUCCUCUGAAGCGCCUGUUUAGGCAUGUUUAGUAGCGAGUCGCAUUGUACAGCUCCUUGAGCCUCAUAAGGAUUUUUUUUUCCAAUUUCUUAUUUGCAUUCCUAAUGUCAAAAAGUGGUGUGGUGCUUGAAGUGCGAUCAUAUGGUGUAUUAUUAAGGGGUGAACUUCUCUUCAUGUCAGAUGAAGCGGAGCUUCAGUGUGUACCUGGUCACUUUGAAUCUGUGGAAGAAUAUGUUAAGGUGUUUGAACCCUUGCUCUUUGAGGAAUGUCGGGCACAGCUGUACAGUACAUGGGAGGAGAUGACUGACACAGGAACCCAUGUGAAAGUCCAUAUUAAAAAUAUUGAACGGCGAGAAAGAGGUUUGUUAUGGCAUUUUUAUAUAUUUAUUUUAUUUUAUCCUUUGAUUUGGAUAUGAGGAACGCCGUUGUAUAUACCAAAUACAUAUUUGGGAAGCUAGGCCCACUUAUAUAGCUUGUACUUAAAGAGAAAGUUUAAGAGCCGGAAAGUUGUGGUCGGCCUAGCUGAAUUUCUUUUCCUCCCUUUCUAAUCAGCACUCUGUUUAUUCUGCACAGGAUGGUAUGAUGUAAUCCUUUUUCCAGAAUGUGAGUGGAAGUGGUUAUUCAAAGAGGGAGAUGUAGCAGUUCUCUCCACUCCCCGCCCCGGAUCAGGUUGGUAUUAUAGAACUGUUUGUUGAUGUGUAUUUCAAAUUUCCUAUGUUUCUUCUUAAUUUUAGUAAAAUUUCUGAACUUCUUAUGAAUUAAGCAGUCCGAUCACGGAGAAGUGGCACCUCAACAUUUGGGGAUGGUGAUGAGCCUGAAAUUAGUGGUCGUGUGGCUGGUACUGUGAGACGACACAUACCUAUUGAUACUCGAGACCCUGCCGGAGCCAUCCUGCACUUCUAUGUUGGAGAUCCAUAUGACACCAACAAGUUAGUGAUUUGACUUUUAAUUGCUUCUGCCUUCUGUUACUGGUGAGCUAUCAUCUUGAUAUUUCUUCUUUCAGCAAUAUUGGUAGUGAUCACAUACUGCGGAAACUGCAACCAAGAGGCAUCUGGUUUCUGACUGUUCUGGGUUCUCUAGCAACAACCCAACGUGAAUAUGUUGCUUUACAUGCAUUCCGGCGUCUUAAUCCGCAGGUUAUAUCUUAAACCCAGCUCUUCACUGAAAGCUUUUUCCUGCAUGUUUAUCAGUUUGAAUAAAGAAUUAUGAUUUUAUGUGUAGAUGCAAAAUGCAAUUCUUCAGCCAAGUCCGGAGCAUUUCCCUAAAUACGAAGAGCAGACACCUGCAAUGCCCGACUGCUUUACACCAAACUUUACUGACCACUUGCACAGGACCUUUAAUGGACCACAGCUAGCAGCAAUCCAAUGGGCUGCUACACAUACAGCUGCUGGGACUAAUGGUAUGACAAAGAGGCAAGAUCCAUGGCCUUUUACUCUAGUUCAAGGGCCACCUGGUACGGGUAAAACACACACAGUGUGGGGAAUGCUGAAUGUCAUCCAUCUUGUUCAGUAUCAGCACUAUUACACAGCAUUGCUCAAGAAACUUGCUCCUGAAAGCUAUAAGCAGAAUAAUGAGAAUAACUCAGAUAAUGUUGCUACUGGAUCCAUUGAUGAAGUCCUUCUAAGCAUGGAUCAGAAUCUCUUCAGAACCCUCCCUAAGCUAUGCCCAAAGCCUAGAAUGCUUGUCUGUGCUCCUUCAAAUGCUGCAACUGACGAGCUUCUUGCACGUGUUCUUGAUCGUGGAUUCAUUGAUGGCGAGAUGAAAGUUUAUCGGCCUGAUGUUGCACGUGUUGGGGUGGAUUCCCAAACGCGUGCCGCUCAAGCAGUUUCUGUAGAGCGGAGAACCGAACAACUUUUGAUGAAGAAUCGCGAUGAAGUUUAUGGGUGGAUGCACCAGUUGAGAGCUCGUGAAGCUCAGUUGUCACAGCAGAUAGCUGGCCUUCAAAGAGAACUAACAAUUGCUGCUGCUUCUGGUCGUGCACAGGGAUCUGUUGGAGUUGAUCCUGAUGUUCUUAUGGCUAGGGACCAAAAUCGAGAUACUCUAUUGCAGAACCUUGCAGCAGUGGUUGAGAAUAGAGAUAAAAUACUGGUGGAGAUGUCCCGCCUUCUGAUUUUGGAGAGUAGGUUCCGUGGUGGUAACAAUUUCAACAUGGAGGAAGCUCGUGCAAGUCUGGAGGCUAGUUUUGCCAAUGAAGCUGAAAUUGUUUUCACUACCGUCUCAAGUAGUGGGAGGAAAUUGUUCUCUCGUCUUACCCAUGGUUUUGACAUGGUAGUCAUUGAUGAAGCAGCCCAAGCCAGUGAAGUAGGAGUUCUUCCUCCUCUUUCUCUCGGUGCAGCAAGAUGCGUUCUUGUAGGGGAUCCACAGCAGCUUCCUGCUACAGUUAUCAGCAAAGCAGCUGGAACAUUGAUGUACAGUAGAAGCCUCUUUGAGAGGUUUCAGCAAGCAGGCUGCCCAACUAUGUUGUUAUCAGUGCAGUACAGGAUGCACCCUCAAAUUAGGGAUUUUCCUUCUAGGUACUUUUAUCAAGGUCGCCUUACUGAUAGUGAAAGUGUUGUGAAUCUGCCUGACGAAGUUUAUUACAAGGAGCCUUUACUGAAGCCUUACAUCUUUUAUGACAUUACACAUGGUCGAGAAUCACAUAGAGGUGGAUCCGUUUCAUAUCAGAAUACACAUGAAGCGCAGUUCUGUCUUCGUUUGUAUGAGCAUCUUCAAAAAACUUGUAAAUCUCUUGGUGUUGGGAAAGUUACUGUAGGUAUAAUCACUCCAUACAAACUGCAACUUAAAUGCCUCCAAAGGGAGUUUGGGGAUGUUUUAAAUUCUGAAGAAGGAAAAGACAUUUACAUAAAUACUGUGGAUGCUUUCCAGGGUCAAGAGCGUGAUGUAAUUAUAAUGUCAUGUGUGCGUGCCUCAGGUCAUGGGGUUGGGUUUGUUGCCGAUAUAAGGCGAAUGAAUGUUGCUCUUACUCGUGCCAGAAGAGCUCUUUGGGUAUGUUACUUUGGUCUCUGUUUAUGCUCAUAGCGCUAUAGUCAUAAUCUAUAUCUGCAAGCAGUGCGACAUACAAGUCAAUAAUAACUCUCUUUUAUGUUCUCUUAACAGGUAAUGGGAAAUGCCAAUUCUCUGGUGCAAUCAGAAGAUUGGGCUGCACUGAUUGCCGAUGCCAAAACCAGAAAAUGUUACAUGGACAUGGAUACUUUGCCCAAGGACUUCUUGCUGCCUUUGCUACCCAAGACAGCUUCUCAUGCUCCUCCACCGACCAAGAUGUCUAAUAAUCGAGGUUUGAGAUCCGGGUUACGACACAGAGUAUACGAUACACACAUGGAGUCCAGAUCAGGAACACCUUCAGAAGAUGAUGAAAAGCCAAAUGCAUUGCAUGUAAGGAAUGGAAAUUAUAGGCCUCCUAAGCCAUCACUGGAGAAUUCAUUGGAUGAUUUUGAUCAAUCUGCUGAUGGAUCUAGAGAUGCCUGGCAAUAUGGCUUACAGAGGAGGCAAAAUACAGCUGGAAAUGGGAGAAGAGACAUGUAAUUGAUGUCUGUGGAUAUGUUCCAUAAUUGCAGGGACCAACCAUUUUGUUCCUGAUGUUGUGGCUUUGCUCCUGGCUAGGAGAUCAGUUGAUGGCACAACUAUGCAUGCUGAUCUUGUGGUGCAACACGGCUUUGGUUGGAAGGACUUUUUGGUGAUGCGAGAAUGGUUGGCAAUAUGGCAGUAAGAAGCGUUUUUGCUCCUAAAGACAUUGCUCCUGGCUUAGGAGAUCAGUUGAUGGCACAACUAUGCAUGCUGAUCUUGUGGAGCAACACGGCUUGGUUGGAAGGACUUUUUGGUGAUGCGAGAAUGGUUGGCAAUAUGGCAGUAAGGAAGCGUUUUUGCUCCUAAAGACAUUGCUCCUGGCUUGGACAGAGGUCAAUGACAGCUGGAUAAGCUAAUUUCGUGUUCAGAAUAUGGUUUGACAAAAAGAAUUAUUGUUGAUGAAGAGAAUGAGUGGAUUUGUAAAAUAGGAAGAGAUCUUGGUUGAUUAUGAGGGCACUCUAGGAAUAUUUAACGAGUUGAUGGGAUUUUGAGGAUGGGAGCUCUCUGAGUCAAUGCCUGAAGUACGUUUACUGACUGAUUGAUUAUAAAGGUAAAUCUUCGAAACGAAUGAUGAUGACUUGAAGUUCUUGAUAUGUACAACAUUUUCAUUUGGUUUGAGCUUUUCUAAAAGUGCACUUGGCAGCUUAUUAUCAAGUAUUUAGCAGGUCUAAUGUAUAUGCUUAUCUUCCGUUGGGACUGAGAAGAAAAGCUGAUCACAGCAAACGAUCUUGAAUAUACAGCCAUCUGUGGCUGGAAAAUGGGAACCCUUUAUGAUUGCUUCUCUGUUGAAUGAUAUAUGCCACUGGGACUAACCUUAGAGACAACUAGUCCAGGAUAGAAGCCCAAGACAGAGAACUGAGCUGCCCAUGUGGGGAAUUGUUUCAGAAUUCACUGAAGGCUGAACACGGAACUCGUCAGAUGGCAAGUCUGUGAUUUGCAGUACCAGUACGAUCUGAUGAACAAGUCAGGACCGCAUAUAAACUGACCGAGUACAGUUAUUUGGAUCCCAAAUGUUGAUACAGAGGAGGGACUUGGAAGAUACCGACUAGUUCUGUACAUGUUCUUGUGGAGAAAAUUCUUUUUAUUAAUUAUUAAUUAGGCAGACUCAUACUUAGGAAUGUUGCAGAACUUUUUGUUAUCCUUCUCAAAAGAAAUCUUGAAGUUCAUCUUUUAACUGUGUCCUUUUCCAUGCUCAAUUUAUUUAGUGCACGUUCCAUCACUUCCAUCAAUGAAAAAUGAGAGAAGGUUGAGCAUUUUAGUUCAAUUCUCACAACUACUAGCACUUACUGCAAAAUUCAUCAACAAUAACUUUAUAUAUUCAUAUAAAAUUACUGAACUGGCAUUGUUAAUGCUUUCAUAUAACCGUAAAAGUGUUUUAAUGUUUGCUAAAGUUAUUCUUUGUGUGGUUUAAAGAUUUCAAAAAAGUAUAAAGAACAAAUAGCUUCUGUAUUACACCAAACAUAUUUGAAUGUAUAAAAGGAUUGAGGCCACCUUGCCGCCCAUGUUGUGUAAUUUUGUGUUUAACUAAUAAAUACUAUAAUGAUCAGGGCUGAAGGGUACUAUUUUAUUAGAUCAUUGAAAAUUAGUCUUAUUAGCAUUGAAGACAUAUUCUGGACAAGAUUGAAGAUAAAAUAUACAUUCAAUAUCUGAAAAUUCAGUCGUACUGAAUUCGAUAUCUAAUCUGAAAUAUAUAAAAUUUUGUUAAAUUCACAAUCCAAAAAUCCAAAUCAAACCUCCAAAGAAUUUCGAUUGGAUUUCAAAAUUGGCUCUGCCCACCCCCAACAUUAAGAGACUUUUAAUACGUUAAAACUUUAGGGGUAAGUCUAGUGGUAGCUUGAAUUAUUUACGGUCUAUAUUGAGGACUAAAAGAGCAAGUUACACAUUAGGCUGAUCAGUUAAAAAUAAUUAUAUUUAUAAUUAAAUAUGUAAAGUAUAUUUGUUAGUAUUUUGUAUCAAAAUUAUAUAUGUUAUGUAUUUUCUUGGGACCACUUUACUGGUCGUUUUUUUUUUUCGCACUCAGUAAGAAAAUUAUGUAGAAAUUAAUUCAACUAAAUUAUUCGUAUUUAUUAUACUACGCUAUUUAAUACUUCUUCUUUCUUUUGCACCAUAUUGAAAUCUCUUCAUAUUCAUGACUAAGCGUAAAUGUAAAAACAAAUAACUAAUUAUGUCUUGAUUUUUCUAAAAUGACAAAUAUUAGGCACCAUCUAUUUUAGUAAGGAUGACAAAUAAAAUGAUUAAGAGGAAGUAAUUUUAUAUUACUAUGUACAAACAUAUAUUUAUUGACUAUUAUUUUGAUGAACGAUAAUUUAUUUCAACUUUUCUAUGAAUCUCUUAGGUCACAUUUGGAUUUGGCUUUAAAAAAGUUUCUUUAAAGAAUUUAUUUACGUUACUCCUCAAAAAAGAAUUGAUUGUCUGAAUUUAAUGCUGAAGAUAUACACUUUCUAGAAUAUUUCAAAAUAAAUAUACUGCUUCCAAUAUACGUAGGAAAAUUAUUGAAUAACGUGGUAACCAAGCAUUUAGGGGAAAAUAGGACCUCUUAAUAUUCAUUGUUUUUUUAAGCUAAAUGAUGUUUUACCACAAUAUGAUAAACUUCACAUCUUUUUCAUUGUUGAUGUUUUUUUGUUACACAUAAAUAUGAGUUCAUAUGGUUUGAAAUUGAUACAUAGUAUGGAUUGAUCUUAAAUAAAAUUUAACAAUAGAUGAAAAUAUAAACUAUGUAGAAAACAUAAUAAGUAGAGAAAUAUAACUAAAAAGAAUAUAAUGUACAUGAAUUAAUUUGAAUAUCUGGACAUUAUAUGUGUGUCUGGAGGAUUUGAAGUUAUAAAUCCUUCAUACUUAGAAGAAAAUAUUUUUUUUAAUACUUAUGGCUGACGGCAAAGUAUGAAGCGUAUCAAAUGCUUAAUCUCUUUAAUUAAACAAAAGAGUACCAUGAGUAAAUUGUUCUUUAAUUAACAUACACGUUUUUAGCAUGAAUUUAGUUUAUUAUGCAUUUCUAGUUUUGACAUACUUUGACUAAUUUAGUGUCUAUAAAUCAUUUUCAUUAAUAGAAGUAUUGAAUAAUUCUCUCAAUCAAAAAAAACUUGCCAAACUUCUUUGCCCUACUUGGGUUUUAAACCGAAAUUCACAAAUCACAUGGUCCAUUUCAUCUCCCCUAAAUUAAUUGAGUGGGUCGGAUUAUAUAUAAUUGUAAAAGAUCUUGAAUUUACACACGAAUAUUAUAUUGUAAAAUUUUUACUUGAUCUGUUAAAAGUGGUGCGUUUUAGACACUUUGAAAACGUUAAGUAUUUAAAAGAUUGCCCUUUAUUAAAAAUUUUCAUAAUAGACAAAAUCAUCUUUUCACGUAUUUUCUUCAAUUAUUAUAUUAUUAUUCUUACAAUAUUGAUUAUAGUUUUGAAAAACUUAAGUGUCCUAAAAAUUAUGAUAAGAGAAGAAUAUAUGGAAAACUAAUAAUGGUAGGUUUACUUUUUGGUCUAAGGUAAAAAAAAAAAUCCUAAAAUAUAUGAUACGAAAAAAAUAUUAUUAGAUUUGUUUUUAUUGGGAGAAUUAUUGUUGGACUCUAGGAGUUGGACGUCGAACUGCGUCUUUUAUCUCAAAAGAGAUACUUUCGUUUUGUAAUGCUAAGCAUUUUUGUUGUUUGUGAUAUGAUUAUUUUCUUUAUUUUAAUGUUGUAACAAUAAUUUUUUUUAUAAUCUUACAGAGGCGGGAUACUGCUUAUGCUCUUGAGCUCUUCAAUCAUCUAUCAGAAAUUUGGAAUUUGGUGGAUAUGUAUUGACUAAACAUAUCGAAAAUGGGAUAAUCUUGAGAUAAGCAAUGCAACUAAUUUAGCAUUAAGUGAUAAAGGCUUGGCCAUCAUUGGAAGUAGAUGUUCACGCCUAUACUGAAGUUAAACAAUAAGGUAAUGAUUAUAAAUUUCUCUUCUUUUUUUUUUAUUGUAAAAAAAUUAUUGUAUAUGCUUUAUUUAGGUUUAUGUUUCUUUGUUUAAGAUUUUUAAUCACCGUGAAGUGAAUGGUUUAUGUUCCUCCCUUUUUUUUUUUCCAGUUUUAGUAGUUUUUUUAGGUUUUACAUACAUCUUUUAAUUUUUGGUUAUAAAACUUUUUGAUCGUAACUUUCUUUAUUGAAUCUUCGAUUAUUUUGUAGCUUUUGUUCUAGAGGCUCCGACAUAACUUUGUGAUUUUCAGAUUUCAGCUUUUUUUUAUUACGUCAAUUUUAUUGAUCAUAAAUACAAAUCGUUCUUUUAUGUUUAUAAGCAUAGAUUCAAUUGCUUUGAUUGUUAUAUAAAUUUUAUUCACCACAAUCAUAUGAGGUCUUUAAAGAUUUUUGUUAUAAGUAAUAGAUUACUAUAAUAUAUGUGGUAAAAAAAUAUAUUUUAUAAAUUGUUAUCAAGGACUGACGAUCAGGAAACAUAGACAAAAAAUGAGAAUAAUACAUGAGGUAAAAUACCUACAAGAAUACAUUAAUUAGGAUUCUUUGAUUAGUCUUUUUUGAUUUAAGUAUUAUAUUGGUUAGAAGUCAUUUCAAUUUUUUUUUCUAAUUUAAGAGUUAAAAAUUAAUUAAAUAUAUUUAUGAUAAAAUCUUUCCUUAUUAGAGAUCAUCAAAAUUAAUGACAUCUGAUACUUUUUUUUUCAUUAGUUUAAGAAUUUUAAAUCAACUAAAUUUGAUUUUAAGAAGAUUUGAAAAAUCUAGAAAUAAUAUAAAACUGUUAGAAUAAGAAAAAUUUAAGAUGUAACAGAUUUUAAAAAGUUUUAAGUACGUAAUAAGAAUGUAAUCAAUGAUUUUGUAAAUAUUUGACUUUAAAAAUAAGAAAAACUUUUAAGUAUACAUGUAUUAAAAAAAACAAUUGUAACACAAACUGGUUCAAAUUGAUGUCUCUCUCUUAGCCUGUGACAACACGGGAAAGAGCUAAUAUCAAAGGAAAAAGUAAUGAUCCAUCAACCACUUGAAAUUUCUGGUGAUAAAACAUAUAUGUGUAUAUGUUAAUGUUUACAUUAUUAUAUUUAAAGUGUGAAAGAUUUUUGAAAAGUGAUUUGAAUUUUUACACUUUAUUAAAAAUCUCCGCAAUUGAUAAAAUCAUUUAAUUUUAAAUAAUCAAACAUUAUACAUGCGAGACACGUGUGAUUAAACUAGUAUAUAUAUGUAUCAGGAAUUUGGUCUCAAGUUUUAAAGAUAAGAUCUCUAUUUAGGGAAAUAAUCAAAUUUGUUCCUUUACUUUACGAUUAAAAUUGAUUAAAUAUACCUCUCGUCAUACUUUAGGGUCAAAUUUACCUUCACUGUCCUACUUUGAGGCCUUUACCACUCUACAUUGAAAAUUUUGCUAAAUAUACUAUUUGUCAUCCUUUGUAAUCAAAUUUUUCCUCGAUAUCAUACUUUACGGUCAUAUUCACCUUCACUGUUAAGAAAUUUUUUACAUGUAUUUUUUUAAAAACAGAAAAGCAAAAUCAACGUUAAAUGCCUCAUCUUUUAAAAAUAAAACACACUCUAAUCUAAUUCGUUCGACCCAACUCGAGCCACCAAAAAAGACAUAAAUAAAUAAACUCCUUCAGUUCUGUGAGUCAAAAUUUUCCAACGAGAUUAAGCCACUAGAUAUUUAUCAGUGCAUAGCUCAUGAAAAAUUGAUUUACAUCAGUGCAAAUACAAAAAAAAUAUCCCUCUCUCAGUUCAUGGAUCUAAAUCAGUGCAGAGCUCAUAAAAAACGAUACUUGACGGUCAAAUGCAAUAGAUCAAGCCCACCGAAUAUUUCUAUUAAAAGAUGGGACAUUUAACAUUGAUUUCGCUUUUCUGUUAAAAGAAGGGUACAUAUGAAAAGUUUCUUAACAAUGAGGAUAAAUAUGGUCCUAAAGUAUGACAUUGAGGAUAAAUUUGACCCAAAGUAUGAUGGAGCCCUCAUUGGAGGAUAUAUUUAGUCAAUUUUUCAAAGUUGUGGGGCAAAUUUGACCCCAAAAGUAUGACAACGAGGGUAAAUUUGAUCCUAAAGUAUGACAAAGGUAUAUUUAAUUUUUUAAAAUAGAUGGAUAAAUUUGACCCUUGUCCCUUGUAUCUAUUGUAAUGCAUAUGUUUUACUAUUUCUUCGCUAUGUUCAUUUUUACUUGUCCACUAUAUUAAAAAUAGAUAUCCAAUAAUACUUGUUCAGUUUAGACAUCAAUGAACAAGUUAUCUAUUUUUAUACGUUUUAUCCUUAGCAUUAAAUAAGAUUUAUUAUCCAAUGCAUUUUUGAAGUCAUUAAAUUUAUUAUAUUUAAAAGAUAAUAUGGUAAAAUUAUCUCUAGCAUUUGCUAUUUUUUAAUUUGUGUGCGAAGUCAAUAGUGAACAACUAUUGGUGGAUGAAUGAAGUAUUUUAUAAGUUGAUCUUUGUUGACUUGUCACACUCGUUAAGAAAAUAUUAAUUAGAGGUUUGUUUAAUUAAAUUUACUUUAUUAAUGAUGCUUUAAAACUCUAAAUGUGAUUACAAAUAGUUAUUUAAUACGAAGGGUGGUACUCCCUCUGUUCUAUUUUACUUGACCCUCUUGCUAAAAUGAUUGUUUCAAUUUACUAGUUCAUUUUAUAAAAUCAAUAUAAAUUUAUCAUGUUCUUUCAAUAUUAUCUCUAUUAUUAGAAGACUACAUAAAGUGUACAAUGCUUAAAUUUAUAUUUUAAAAAUAUAUUUAGUAAGAUUAAUUUAGUAAAAUAAGUCUUUAAUAAAUAUCUUUUUAUGGAGAGUAUCAAGUCAACAAGGCCAAGUAAAAUGAAACGGAGGGAGUAUGAGAAAGAAGUACUCCCUUCGUUUCUAAAUAAGUGUUUCUUUUGACUUUGACACGUCCUUUAAUAAACUACUCACUCCUAAAAAAUUAACGAUAACUUUACCAACUUAACCCUAAUUAAAUUUUAGCUUUUUUAAGUUGACAUUGAUUAUUAUAUUUAAACUCAAGAGCAUAUUAGAAAGAUUAUGAUAAAACUGAUCUUGAAAAGCUUAAUCAUACACUUAUUUAGAAAUAAAAUCACAACCCAAAAGAAGCAGUUAUAAAAAAAAUGAAGGGAGUAAUAUAUCUCUCUUGAUUUGCAAAAAAUAAACUGAAACAUCUCUUUUUAGUAUAGAGGCCAACUAAAAUGAAAUGAAGAAAGUAAAUAUUACUUGUAUUUAUUCCUUCCGUUCGAAUUUACUUGAUACAUUUUGACAUGAACACCUAUUAAGAAAAUAAUGAUUGAUAUAAUAACUUUACCAUAUUAUUCCUAUUAAUUGAUUUUUAGUAGGAGUAAUAUGUAUUAGAAAAUGAUUUGAAGAAUAAUUAAUUCUAGAGGUAAAGUAUGAAUUUUUUUUUUAAAAUUUAUUAAAAGUAAUAAGUAAAAAUAAAAAAUAAAUUAGAAAAAUAAUGACAAUUAAAUCCGAACACAGAGAGUAUAAGAGUUGGAAAAAAAAAUAAUAACGAAUCGUUUGGUAGAGUGUAUAGUAAUAAUAAUGUAAAAUAUGAUAUAUUAAUAAUAUUUGUAUUAGUAAUGCUUGUGUUAGUUAUGCUUGCAUUAGUUAUACUUGUAUUCUUCUUGUGUGGUGUUUGGUUUGAUGUAUUAAAAAUAAUAUGUUUUAUAUAAUUUUUAUUUAAAAAAUUUGUUUCACAAAAAUACCCUCUCCAAUUUCUUUCCAGUAAAACCCAGACCAACAAAUUGAAGCCUUGUAUAUUCUUCUUCCUUCUCCCAUCUUCACCGUUUUCUAUUUUGUGUGUAUAUAUUUUUCCUCUCGUGUUCUUCUCACUAUUCUCUGCAUAUGAGUUUGUGUAUUUUUUUUUCGUUUCCUGUGUUUCUACUCUGUUUCUCCUCCUCUUCUUCUUCUUGCCACUUAAAUAUGACAAUAACUAUAUUAUUUGAUUCGAGUUAUAUUCAUCCUUCAAAUUACUGAAUUCUGUUUACUUAUGUAAUUGAGCAAGUUUUGUGCAAUUGAUGACUGCCCAGAAGAGAAUACUUUUGGAGCAAGAACGGAAAAGGAAAUGAGAAAAAAUUGAGGGGUAAAUUAGUCAUAUAAUAAAUUAAAACAUGUGUUGAAAGCUUUGUAUUACUAAUACAUCAAAAAAUGAUGAUAUUAGUUAUGCAUAGCAUAAUACGCAGUAGAGUGUAUAAUUAAUACUUGCGUUAGUUAUACAUAAAUUUAAAAAGUAUACCAAAUAAGAUAUUAACAAUAUAUAAAGCUAAUACAUGCAUUAAUUUUUUUAUCACAUUCUAUCAAACAACCCCUAAAUGAGUUAAGACAUUCAUCACCAAGUGGACUUCUUUUAGUUAUCAGAGGAAAAUGUCAAAAUUGCUAGUAGUCGUGCACAACAUAAAGUGAAUAUAUCGCCCAUGUAAGAUUAUUUAAAAUUAACAGAUCUAGUUACCAAAUUUAUGGAUAGAUUGGUCUAUUUUUUUUAUUUUUUUUUUCAAUAAAAGAAAAAAAUAUCCGAAUUUGCUUUAAGAAUCCAGCCUCUAGGUGGGAGUCCCAUAUUCUUCCAACUAAUUCUAAAAAGAAAAAAGGUGGAACAAGCUAAUAUAAGGAGAGAUGAGGUUGGUAGGUGUGACAAAUUAAUCCAUAUGGUGCGAGCCUGAUUUUUCUUUUCUUUGAAUUUUAUUUGGAACUAACUAAUUAACAUUCAUUUUGAAUUUUGACUAAUUCGAUUUUAUGUGAAAGUUAAAUUUCAUCUUUAUUUUUCUGAUCAUAUACAUAGAUUAUAAUCUGAUUAUACGUAAAAAUAUACAUAUAUAAUACGUGAAUUAUACAAAUAUUAUAAUAUGCAUUCACUAUUAUUUUUAGAUUAAGUAAUUGGGUGGGCGACGAUCUAGGUUAUUCAUUUUCUUUCUACUUUUUGAACUAAAGACUUAAAUCCAAUAUCUCUGAUUAAUAAAAAUACUUACUGACACUAUGUGACCCUUGGUAGUGGAGUGAAUCCAAUAUUGUCAUUGACUAAAAGACACUUUUAUACUAAUCGAACUUUGAUCCAAAAUCUUUGAUUAAAGAUAAAAAAAAGAUAUUUAUCACACAUCAUAACAAACUUUGAUGAGUCCAACCGAAUCUACUAUCUUCAACUAAUAAGUUGCUUACACUUUUCAAAAAUGCAAUCCUACCCGUUUUGAAUCCUUUUAAAACACCUUACUUUUGAAGAAUUUACUACACAAUCGAUGACAUUUUUAAGAUUCGAGCAACAGAUGUUCAACAUAGGUCUCAUCAAAGUUAAAUUUUUGAAACGUAUAGAGUGGGUGGGGCUAGGCGCCCUUGUGAAAGUUGGCAUGUCAAUAUGGUAUGGACCAGCAUGUUGCAAGUUUUUUUUUUUUUUUUUUUUUUGGUUUCCCAAGGUCUCCACAGCCGGCAGUCGUGAGGCUAAUCCUCUGUUCCUCUGUCAGCGCAUUAAGCGGUAGGGAACUGGCUACAUAAUUUGCUCCUUUCGUCAGAGGCGGGGAUCGAGCCCCCGACCUCUUGCUUAAGGGACAUGGCGCUGAAUCACCAUGCCACUAGGAACAUGGCGCUGAACCACCAUGCCAACUCUAGUGGUUAGCAUGUUGCAAGGUUAAUGUCCUCUACUUGGUGACAUUCUUAUAACAACUUGGAAACUUAUAACCCUUUCUUUUGUUUCCAUUCAUUUGAACAGCUCUGUUUGUCCUUGUGCUUUCAGAGCCUAAUUGGCUUUUGUCAUUGCAUUAUUAUUUUAACACCUAGAUAAAGAGAUCCUCGAAGUUCUUCAUGAGGAGAAUUAAGCAACCUAGGUGAUUUCUCAAUAAGUUUCCAGAAGAUUUCACAUAAAAUAUUUGACUUCUUCAAUUUAUGGAGUCGACCUAUUUUAUAUGUAUAUUGUUUAAAUUGAACUAUUCACGUGUAUUAAAAAUUAAGGGUCAAAGUCAUCGAUAGACACUCAAACUUGUUUCGAAAAUUCACUUAGACCCCUCAACUAUGGCCUGUACCUAUCAGACCCCUCAACUACGAAUUGAAAUGUGACAAGUGGCACUGAGGGGGCCCAAAAAAUAUUAAUUAAAAAAUUUAUAUUUAAAUUAUUUAUUAAUAUAAUUUUUAAUUAUUAUAAUUUCUUAAUUCUUUUUUAAAAAAAGUAUCCCGCCCCUCUAUGUCAUCUUCUUCACAGCACCCCACCCCACCCCCUGCGUCUUCAACUCCACCUCGGGUCUUUAUCGUUUCAACCUUACCCCACCCCGCGUCUUCGUCGUCACCCCAAACCCGCAUCUUCACAUGAAAAAAUUCUUUUUAAUCCACCAUAAUUAUUUUCAUUUCUUGAAAAUUUUCAACAAAAUACACUUUUUUUCCAUUCCUUGGAAAUUUUUACAAUAAAGAUCACUUUUUUGUUGAAAAAUUACAAGAAAGAUCACUUUUUUCUCCGUUAAUAUCACCAUUUUAUGAAAAAUUUCAAUAAAGAUGGCUUUAUUCUAGACCCCCUUUUGAAUUUUUGAAGUAGAUUUAAACAAAAAUUGUGUGUGUGUGUAUUUUUGAGGUUCACAGAAAAGUUUAAUGGAGAAGAGGAACGUCGGGGGGUGCGGGGUGGGGGUGGGGAAGAAGAUGAACUAUGUAGAGCACUUAGCCACAAACUCUAAAACAUCUCUCCUCAUCCCACUCCACCAAUAGAUCUCCCACAUGUCGUGGUACAUCUUAGUGGACCUUGAAUGAAUAGAGUAUCAUGCACUAUGCGCUUCUACAAGUAUUCACUGCCUCAAUUCAUCUACCCCUGGAACACAUAGACGACCCUGACAACGAAAAACACCAUUUUCCCUUGGGAGAAAACCUCCACUUCCUGAUUCUAAAAUGAAUCUUUGAGCUUGACAAGGCUAGGAUCCAUGUAUUAUUUCUCUUUCACCUCAAAAACUAAAGAUGACUCUGAACUACUAUGAACACAUACACUACUCUCUGAAGAAUCGACUAAGCAAAUGCCGAAUCUAGUAAGUUGAUGGAUCUCCUGAGCUAUCUUUUUCUUACUAUCCCCAAUAUGAGAAAUACUACCCAUAGAGAGUCGAUUGAGAGCGUCAACCACAACAUUGGCCUUUCUUGGAUGAUAAAGAACACUCAUGUCGUAAUCCUUCAAGAGCUCUAACCACUUUCUCUGGCGAAGAUUGAGAUCUUUAUGGGAAAAGAUAUACUGGAGGCUUUUAUGGUAUGUGAAGACAUCUACAUAAACGCCAUAGAUAUAAUGCCUCCAAAUCUUCAAGGCAAAAACUACCGCUGCUUGUCGAUAACUUUGGCCAAAAUUAAAUAUCAAAUCAUUAAAAGUUAUGAUGAGAUAGAUAAGAUUUUUUCAUUCUUAUCUGAAUUUAUGGGCUUGAGCUUGUGAAUGAAAAGAAUUUUGUUUAGGAACGUUUCUCCCUUUAAUAAGCAUAUGUUGUGAAUCUUAAUUAGUUAGGGCUUAAAAUAUGUAUAGAAUGCUAAAUGAGAAACAUAAAGAAAUCUAAUAUUGGAAUAUUACUUUUAUUUUCUGGGGUAUAAUUACUUGGUAUUAAAAACUCACUUUAUCGAUUAUUCUAAUUUUUUGCAACGAAAGAGGAAAUGUUUCCUAUCAUAGAUUUUGUUGUUUUUCAACGUUUUUGAGUACAAGAAUCUGUAAUUUGACACAAUAACUUCAACACUAGUUCAAGUUUAAAACAAGAACACUAUGAAGUACAAUAACACCCUUAACACAAGAUUAAAGUGAUCUUUCUAAGAAGUGUGUUUUAUUUUUUCAGAAAUUAAGAUGAAACAGAAAUGUAAAGCCAAGUCCCCCGACAUCACGGAGUGUCCUUAAGGAAUAAUUUCCCUCACUGUACCCAAGUUUUUGGAAUCUUCCUCCCUGGAUAAAAUGACUUUCAAUCCAACUAUAGUGGUACCUCAAAUAAUUGGAUUCGUCGAACUCACUCAACGAUUUGAUUGAUCACAAGGAAUGCUUUGAAGAUAAGAAGAGUUUGUAUUUUAGAAAAUUUUCCAUUCCAAAACCUGUGGAUAAAUGCAGGUUUAUAUAGCCAUCAAGUGCCCCUUUCGAAAGGUGGCAAUGGUUCAUCCGAAAAGGUGUAUCCUUUGGAAGAGUAUGUCUGUUCAUUCGAAACAUUGUGUCUUUUUUCAGAACAGACACAACUAUCUGAACAGUCACUCUUUUUCCAAAACAAUAUGUCUUUUCAUAAAAAGUUGUGUCCCUUCAUUUUCCAUUCACACCACUUGAAUCGAACAGAUUUUUCCUUCGAAGAGUUUGAACAGAAAGCCUUUACUUAGAGCAUAGAAAUCAUAUUCAUUACAUCACAUCACUUAUGUUAGGAAAAGAAAAAUGAAGUUUUGAUGAUGAACACUGAAUGAAACAGGUUCCAUAACAUGUUCCAUGCAACAUGUUCCACACAGUGAAUCUACUACUGUCGACUGAUUAGCAUGAACAUCCUACAAGGCGAACAGGAUGAAACAAGUUCAAAUCCAAAAGAGUGAAGGCAAUCUAAGUCAAGAUAGGAAGGUCAUCAAGGCAGUCCAAUUCAAACUAGGAAACAAGGAAAGGCAGCAGAAAUUAAAAGACAGAAAAGGCAAUCCAAUUCAAGUAAGGAAAGGAGAUCAAUUGAAGGUUUCAAUCAGGGUUGCUAUAAAUACAAAGGAAAAGAUCAAAGCACGGUGUGCACAAAAGAGACAGUCAACAAUUAAGAAAACAAGUUCGUCCAGUUGAAGGAGAACCUAAUCUAUACUUUUUAAGUCGUAGAUCAGUUGUAAUAGGUAGGUUCUUUUAAUUGUAACGUGUCAUAGUUCUUGUACUCAGUGAUCUAUAAACUGAGAUAGAAGUAUUUGUCUUCAAGUUGGGGAACUCGAAGAUUUGGGAACACUUAUCUUGGGUGAGAUUUGUGUUUUUGUAGCGAUAGGAAUUAGAAGUUUUAAUUUCUAAGUUACAAGAAGCCUUGUAAUUGUUUGAUUGUUGAGGAUUAGGAGUUUUAGUGAAGUUGGGGUUAAAUCCUGUAGAGGUACAAGUCGUGGUUUUUUACACCUUUCUUGAGCCGGGUGUUUUCCACGUAAAAACAUUGUGUUUAGCUUUCUCUUCUGCGAACUGCAUUUACUUACCUGUUCCACAGAUAGACAAAAAGUAUAAUCGAUAAAUCAGUAGGGCCCAUACUCUAACAAGUAGUAUCAGAGAGAGAUUCUCUUAUAUAAGGCUAACACCUAAGAAAAGAUCAACAUAAUGAAUUCAGCACCUCCUAAUGUUCACAGUGAAGGACAGUCAACUACUAGAUCUCCACUCUUUGAUGACACUCACUUUAUCUGGUGGAAAGUAAGGAUGGAGUAUUUAUUCAAGGAGAAGACUAUGAAUUAUGGGAUAGGAUCACUGAAGGUCCUACUAUUCCAAUGAAGUUUGUUGAUAGAGAACAGGUCAAAAAGGUGAGAAGUGAGUUUACCCCUAAUGACUUAUUGGCCUUGAAGAAAAAUACAAAGACAAAAAAUAUCCUGGUUUGUGGCUUAGGACCAACUGAAUACAACAGGCUAUCAACCUGCACUACUACUAAACAGAUCUGGGAUGCACUGGUGAAUGCUCAUGAAGGCACUUCUCAGGUAAUAAAAUUUCAAAUUUCUCUCAUUUUUAUUGAGUAUGAGGCCUUCAAGAUGAAGGAGAAGGAAUCCCUGCAUGAGAUGAUGACAAGGCUUACCACCUUAAUCAAUGAACUUACUUCCCUGGAAAAAAUAAUUUUCGAGGAAGAACAAGUUGAGAAGGUAUUAAGAGUAUUACCUAAGUCAAAAUGAAAUGUUAAAGUAACAACAAUCAGGGAAGCAAACAAGGAACUUGCUGGAAUGACCUUGGAUGAAUUAGUUGGAAAUGUUAGAACUAAUAAGAUGAAAGUUGAUGGAACCAAAGAACAAGCACCUCCUGAGAAAGUCUUGACAUUAAAAGCUUCAGAUAGUGAUGAAGAAAUUGAGCUUGAUAAGGAGUAAGUUGCCUUCAUAGCCAAAAACUUCAGCAAAUUCUUCAAGAAGAAGAAAAGAACAGGUGUUAAGAGACGAUCCAAUGACAAUCCAAAUGGCUUUUACAAGUGUGGCAACAUUGAUCAUCAGACCAGAGACUGUCCAUUAUGGGAAAUAGAAUGGAAGAAGAAAAAAAACAGAGAAGGAAUUAAAAGAAAAGGCAAAAGGGAAAGAACAACAUGCAAUGAUAGCAGCUUAGGGAUCUGAUUCAUAUGAAGAUGAAGUUGAUGAAACUACAUUUAUGGCUUUUGGAGAUUCAGACUUAGAUAAAGAAGAAAAUGAUUCUGAGGUAAGUAUACUUGAUCUUAAAGAAAAACUGCAACUGUUUUCAAAAUCAAAACUUGUUUCCCUAAUGAGUGCCCUGAUUGAUGAUUUCCAAGAGUUAACCUCUAAUAGGGAUGAAUUGUUCAGCAGUUUUGCAUGCCUAAAAUUUGAUCUCAUUAAUUUAAAAGCUUACACAGGAACUGUUGACAAAGAAAACAGCUCACUUAAGAAACAGAUUGCAGAACUAGAAACUUCAAACAAUGGUCUUAAAUCUAAAGUCCUCAAACUAACUUUAACUGAUAAUGGAAAAAGGCCCAUGAGUAAAGAUCAAGAAAAUUCUGAACAUGAGGUAAUUAGAUACAAACAAGAAUGAUAUGAUUUAACUAAAAAAAUGAAAAAGCUGAAUCAAGAAGUUUCAACAGUAAAACUUGAUCUUAAAAGGGAAAAUAGGUGGACAAAUUCCUCAAGAAUUGUUCAUAAGCUGGGUGAAAGAAUGUACAAUGAAACGGCUGGAUUGAGAUUCCAUAAAAUUUUGAUGUACCCUAAGAUUUGUGUUAUAUCUGUGGUAACCUUGGACAUCCCACUACUGAAUGCCCAGUAGCUGCAAAAACAAGAUCCAAUAGUCAAAACCUGGCAUGGAAAGUUUCUCAGACCAAAAGGAACAAAUCCAGUUCUGGUCAGAGAAACAGUUUAAGCUGCAUGUUGCCCGCAUGGACUAAAAGAAAUUUGAUUCAUCCUUUCACUCAUAAAACAGGACCCAAGUUAGUAUGGGUUCCUAAGUCUAACCAUUGAUUUCUAUUACAGGAGAAAGUGAAAGGAAGCAAAAAGCACUAGUACUUAGAUAGUGCUUGCUCAAGACACUUGACUGGUGAUAAGAGAAAGUUCCUUUCACUCUCCAAAAUAGAUGAAGGAGGAGUUUCAUUUGGUAAUGGAAAAAGGGGAAUCAUUACUGGAGUAGGAAAGAUUGGCUCAUCUAAAUUAAAAGCAUUGGAAGGUAUCUAUCUUGUUGAGGGACUAAAGCACAACCUGCUGAGUAUUUCAGAGUUGUGUGACAAAGGUAAUAAAGUUAUUUUUACUGCUGUAGGGGUCAAAGUCAAAAGGAUGGACACCAAAGAAGUGGUGCUCACCGCAAAGAGAUACAAAAAUGUAUACAAAGUCGAUAUUAUCGCAUUACCAGGAUCUGAGAUGACCUGUCUAAGUGCUAUAGAAAAUGAUCCCCUCCUUUGGCACAAAAGACUUGGUCAUGUAAGUCUAAAACAAUUAAACAUACUUUCUUCCAAAUACAUGGUAUUGGGAUUACCCAAAACCAAGUUUAAAAAGGAAAAGUUAUACAGUGCAUGUGUAAGGAAGAAACAGGUAAGGUCUUCGUUUAAGUCAAAGAACCAUGUUAGCACUACCAAGUGUCUUGACCUGGUUCAUAUGGACUUAUGUGGACCCAUGAGGAUUCAAAGCAGAGAUGGAAAAAGGUAUGUUUUUAUUAUUAUUGAUGAUUAUUCUAGAUUCACAUGAACAUUGUUUCUAGAAUCUAAGGAAGAUGCCUUUGGUGUUUUUGAAAUCUUCAUUAAGAAAAUUGAAAAGAAACUGGGCUCUUCUUUACCAUAAGGUCUGACCAUGGAACAGAAUUUGAGAAUGUAAAAUUAUUAGAAUUUUGUUCAGCAAAUGGUGUAGAUCAUAACUUCUCAGCUCCCAGAACUCCACAACAAAAUGGAAUGGUGGAAAGGAAAAAUAGAACCCUGGAAGACAUGGCUAGAACAAUAAUGCUUGCAGCUGACAUUGCUCAAAACCUAUGGGCUAAGGCAAUGAGUAUUGCUGCAUACAUCAUAAAUAGAUGCAGGAUCAGGCCUAUGUUAGAUAAAACUCCCUAUGAAUUACUAAGAGAAACAAAGCCCAAUAUUUCUCACUUUAAAACUUUUGGUUGUAAAUAUUUUAUUCACAAUAAUAGAAAGGAUAAUUUGAGAAAUUUUGAUGUUAAAAGUGAUGAGGGAAUGUUUCUAGGAUACUCACUUAAUAGUAAAGCUUAUAGGGUUUUAAACAAACGAACUAACUGUGUUAAAGAAAUCACGCAUGUAAUCUGUGAUGAAUCCUGUGUUAAGACUAAUAUGCAGGAAGGAAGUGACACUGAGGAACAGAAAAUGUCACCCGAUUCAUCCAAUGGAGCUAUCAAAUAUGGAGACACCUUGACAGGGGGAACUGAAGCUGAAGUCAUAAUGACAGGGGGAACUAAGCCUCAAAAUAGCCCCAUUCAGCUAGGGUUGAUCCCAAAAGGAUACAAGUAUUAAGGAUCACACCCUAUUGAAAAUGUACUUACUGAUAUUACAUUUGGGAUUACCACAAGGUCUGGAUUGAGAAAUAUAUGUGCCUUCAAGGCAUUUCUAUCAGAAAUUGAACCUAAGAAGGUAACUGAAACAUUGCUUGAUGCUGACUGGAUCAUAGCCAUGCAGGAUGAGUUGAAUCAGUUUGAGAGAAGCAAAGUAUGACACUUAGUUCCUCUCCCAAAAGACAGAUCAGUAAUUGAGACUAAGUGGGUCUACAGAAACAAAGUUGAUGAGCAUGAAACAGUCACAAGAAACAAGGCAAGAUUGGUGGUCCAGGGAUACAAUCCGGAAGAAGGAAUUGACUUUAAUGAGACUUUUGCACCUGUAGCUAUACUUGAAGCUAUAAGACUACUUGUUGCUUUUGCUGCCUAUAUGGAGUUUAUCCUUUAUCAGAUGGAUGUAAGGAGUGCAUUCCUAAAUGACAUUCUCAAGGAGGAGGUGCAUGUUAAACAACCUCCAGGUUUUGAAAGCAAGGAGUUUCCUGAUUAUGUAUACAGAUUAGACAAAGCCUUGUAUGGAUUGAAACAAGCUCCAAGAGCUUGGUAUGAAAGACUGUCAAAAUUUUUGUUGGAAUAUGGUCAUACCAGAGGUAAAAUUGACAACACUCUUUUCUUGAAAUCAAAUGGGAAGGACUUGUUGAUUGUACAGAUAUAUGUGGACGAUAUUAUUUUUGGCUCAACAAAUAUGAGUAUGACCCAUGAAUUUGCCAAACUCAUGAGUAGUGAAUUUGAGAUGAGCAUGAUGGGGGAACUAUAUUACUUCUUGGGCUUGCAAAUAAAGCAGUCAGCCUCUAGGACAAUGAUUUACCAACGAAAGUAUGAUAAAGAUUUUCUUAAAAGGUUCUCCAUGGAGAAAGCAAAAGAAAUCAGCACUCCUAUUGCCACUGUCACAAAAUUAAACUUGGAUGAAGCAAGAUCAGAUGUUGAGCAAAAAUUGUAUAGAGGAAUGAUUGGCUUAUUAUUAUAUCUCACAGCAAGCAGACCUGAUAAUGUGUUCAGUGCAGGACUGUGUGCUAGAUUCCAAGCUAAACCAAAAGAGUUUCAUUUAAAAUAUGUGAAAAGAAUUCUCAGAUACUUGAAAGAAACCACUGAUCUUGGAUUGUGGUACCCUAAGGUGGUAACUUUAGUUUGGUGGGAUACUCAGAUGCUGAUUAUGCAGGUUACUUGGAGGACAGGAAAAGUACUACUGGCAUGGCACACUUUCUUGGAACAUGUUUGAUUACAUGGUCCACUAAGAAGCAAAAUUCAGUAGCCUUGUUAACUGCUGAAGCUGAAUAUAUUACUGCAGGUUCCUGUUGUGCUCAAUUGCUAUGGAUUAAGCAAUAACUUAAGGAAUUUGGUAUUGAUGUAGGGUGUGUCCCCAUUUUUUGUGAUAACACAAGUGCCAUAGCCAAAAUUCCCGUUCAACAUAAAAGAACUAAGCAUAUUGAUACUAGACAUCACUUUCUUAGAGAUAAUAUUGAAAAAGGUCUUAUAUCAAUCAUGUUUUGUUCUACUGAGGAACAAAUUACUGACAUCUUCACUAAGGCUUUGAGUAGAGAAUAUUUUGAAAAAAAUAAGUUAGCCUUGGGGAUGAUUAAACUUGCAUAAGUCUUCCUCAAUGCUUGAUUAGAAUAGCUUGUUUUAUAAGUGAAUGUUGAUUAAUUCAGUCUCACACAUUAAAAAUGUAUCCUAAGUCCAAAAAUUAGAAUAUGUUGACUCAUGAUUAUAUUGAUUUUGCAAAAAAGCUGGACCACUGAGGCAAUUGUAACCAUUUCUUUCAGGUAUGACUAAAUUUAUCUUACAGUACCUUACUAAGAAACAAGUUGUUUACAUUAUCCCUUCAGUUCCAUUUAAACCGCCAAAAAUCAAGGGAUCUGCUCCAUUUUAAAAGCUGCUCCUUCCUUUUCCAUCAGUUCAGACUUCUCAAUCAUUACUCCUCUGCCACAUACAGUUAUCCACCUCUUCAACUUCCUCUAAAAUUUUUCUUUAAAUAAGCUUCUUGAGUCUAUCUUAACUCCAUUCUCUAAAUCAAGAAAAAUAUCUUUUUCCAUUAUGGCCUCUCCUUCAUCCUCUUCAUCUUCAUCAUCCAAAAACCCUACCAAGAACCUCAUAAAAUCUAUUAUCCUUCACCCAAACAUCACUUUAACUUCCAUCAUCCCUCCAUAAAUCUCCCACGAAUUGACCAACUUUGUUGCAUUCCGUCAUCUCCAAAAUUCCUUCACCUUCUUCAGACUUCAUGAAACCCCUUCUCCUUCCUUCACCCAUCCCACUCAACAUUGUUGAAAUUAAUGAAAACCCUAGUGAUAGAGACGACCUUCCCAUAGCAGACUUGAUUCCCAGAAAAUCUAGAUCUCAACCACAGUGAAAACCCUCGUAUAUUUCUGUUGAUAACAUAGUUCCUUGGAAACCCUCUCCAACUGUCUCUGCACUUCAAACUCCUCACACUAGAGGAAAAAAGAAGCGUGAAGAUGCUUCCUUGAUUGAAGCACUUCAAGAAAGCAAAAAGAAAUGGGUCGUCAUCUCUAAUCCCUCACUCCUCAUGCAUCAUCCCCUGAUAUUCUUCUUUGCUCAGUCAAGAAGACUAAGACUAUCAUGGCUAAAACUAUCAAAGUCUUUCCAUCUCACAAAACCUCUCUAAAAUCUACACCCAAUAAAUUCACCUCUAAGUCCACUCCAAAGGUCAAGGCUCCCACAUCCUCAAAAGCUUCACCUUCUAAGGCCUCUUCCAGAUCAAAAAAACAUGUCAGGAAGUCUAUUCCCUCUGAUUCCUCUGACUCUGGGGACCAUCCAUACACCACUGCUGAGUUGGACUCUGACUAUGAAGGUCCCAUUUCAUCUUCUCAUCAAGAUACUCCCGAGGCUCAUAAUUUUCACUUCCAAAAAUACCAAUUAACUAGAGAGAGAGAGUUAUCAGUGGGUUUGGAGGAGAUAACAUGCAAACUCUGAUGAGAAAACUGAAGUUCCAAGGAUGGUCUCUGUUGUUUCUUCAGGAAGAUAUUCAGAGGAAAUUUGGCAAACCUGAAGUCUAUGAGUUCUAUACAAAUGGGAUGGGCAUAGGUGAGUUUUUUUCUACUACUGUGAGAAAGGUUACUGUGAACCUUUACAUUUCUGAUAUUGCUAGGAUUCAACAUAUUCCUUCUGGGGGUUGGGGUCACUAUAUCAAGGGAAAUUGGCCACCCCUGGACAACCUUAAUUCUGCUCUUGAAAUUUGUAGAAAGUUCUCUAGAAAUCCUCAUCUGAUUCAUUAUCGAAGGGUUUUUAAGAGAGAGAUGUACCCUCUCCAUCAGCUCUAUUUUGAUGUAGUACACAAGAUGAUCAUUCCUAGGAAGGAGAGAAGGAAUGUGGCUAGUUUUUUGGAUCUCACUCUCAUGGAAUUGUUGGAUACUGAAGUAAGAAUUGAUCUACCUAGACUUAUUCUGAAGCACAUGCAAAGGGUGCUCAUCAAGGAGAAAAAUGGGCAUGCACUUCCUUAUGAAUUUUGGCUUACCCCUAUCCUUGAGGAGUUUAGGGUACCUAUUCAAGUAUGGUCUUCCUAGACUGUGAAAGACAUCAUAGAAAGUGUGAAUCAUAUGAUGCUACCUGAUUCCAUGAGAAAUAUAGAUAACCCCAUGCAGAGACUAAGAAAUGUACUGGCUGAUAAACAGGGUGAGGCCGAAGCUGCACAAGUUACAUUGAAGGCAGCACAAGCUGAUCAUGAAGAGGAAAGAGGGAUUCUUCAAGCUCAAAUUGCUUGCCUAACCUCACUAUUGUAAAGAGAAAGAGCUAAAAAUGAUGAUGUGAUUAGGAAACUCACCUAUCUAAUUCCCUCCUCUUCAUCCCUUUAGCCUUGGUUUCUGAUAUCCAAGAUCAACUUUUUGUUCCUUUCCUUAAAUGACUUAUUUUCUAUUAGGGUGCUGCUGGUUAAUAUAAGUCACAUCAUGAAUGAAAUGGUCUUAGUUAUUUUUACAUGUUCUACUCCUGCUUUAUCUUGUUGUAUUCAUGCUCUAUUAUUCUGAAUUUUGAUUGUCUUAGUGAUUGCCUCAAUAGCCAUGAAUUAGUAAACGAUUUUUCACUUGUUGAAUCAGCUUUUCGAUGAUGUCAAAAGGGGGAAGAAUAGACUAUGCAAUAUUUAUAACUCAAUGACUAACCACAUUUCAUUCUGAGUAUGUCAGGGUUGAAUAAAGGAUACCGAGGUGUUGAAUUUGUCAUUAUCAAAAAGGGGGAAUUUGUUGGGAAAAGAAAACUGAAGUUUUGAUGAUGAACACAGUGAAUGAAACAGGUUCCACAACAUGUUCCAUGCAACAUGUUCCACACAAGUGAAUCUACUACUGUCGACUGAUUAGCAUGAACAUCCUACAAGGCGGACAGGAUGAAACAAGUUCAAAUCCAAAAAAGUGAAGGCAAUCCAAGUCAAUAUAGGAAGGACAUCAAGGUAGUCUAAUUAAAACUAGGAAAUAAGAAAAGACGGCAGAAAUUAAAAGGCGGAAAAGACAAUCCAAUUCAAGUAAGGAAAGGAGAUCAACUGAAGGUUUCAAUCAGGGUUGCUAUAAAUAGAAGGAAAAAGAUCAAAGCAUGGUGUGCACAAAAGAGACAGUCAACAAUCAAGCAAACAAGUUCGUCCAGUUGAAGGAGAACCUAAUCUAUACUUCUUAAGUCGUAGAUCAGUUGUAAUAGGUAGGUUCUUUUAAUUGUAACGUGUCAUAGUUCUUGUACUCAGUGAUCUAUAAACUGAGGUAGAAGUAUUUGUCUUCAAGUUGGGGAACUCGAAGAUUUGGGAACACUUAUCUUAGGUGAGAUUUGUGUUUUUGUAGUGAUAGGAAUUAGAAGUUUUAAUUCCUAAGUUACAAGAAACCUUGUAAUUAUUUGAUUGUUGAGGCUCAAGAGUUUUAGUGAAUUUGGGGUUAAAUCCUAUAGAGGUACAGGUCGUGGUUUUUUACACCUUUUUUAAGUCGGGUGUUUUUCACGUAAAAACAUUGUGUUUAGCUUUCUCUUCUGCGAACUGCGUUUACUUACCUGUUCCACAGAUAGGCAAACAGUAGAAUCGAUAAAUCAGUAGGGCCCAUACUCUAACAAUUUAGUUAUAUUAAGAGGAGAAAAUAACAAGACAGGUACAUGUAUAUGUUAGGCAGGGGCGAAGCCACCUUCAUCCAAGGGAUUCAUCCGACCUUUGCUGAAAAAUUAUGGUAUUAUUUAUACAUGAUUUAAAAUUAUUUUUUUAUGUAUAUAGUGCAUGUUGAAACCUCUUCGACUAAUUCGUAUGUUUACUUCUGAACCCUCUCAAUGAAAAUUCUGGCUCUGCCACUGAUGUUAGGUGCGUAUGAAUAAAGUUUCACAUUGAUUGUUGAAAAGAAAUUAUAAGUUAUGCUUGGUUCUUUUAACAGUAUAAGACUUUUGGAAUACAUCAUGUGUUCGGUUUAAAGCGAACAAUACCACACUAUGCUAAUAUUAAUAUUGGAUCAACAUAGUAAGAGUAUCUUAAGAUUGUACCGGCAUCAGAGUGAUAAUUCGGUUAGACGAGUAUGAAAAUGGCAGAGUGAUGAAAUAGGACCUGACUUAGUACUUUUUUUCAUCUUUACACGCAGCUUCAAAGACACAUACACAUCAAAAAAAAUCUAUUAGGCUUUGAUAGUCAUAAAUACUCAAUUGAUGUAGUUGGCACACAAUUAAUCUCCAAAUUAGGUUAUGAAUGAUGAUGAGUCAUGUGGAGGUUAGUUCAAGAAGAAGAUUGUUCAGUGUGUGUAAAAAAAAGUUUCACAUUAAUAAUUGAGAAAAAAAAGUACUUACUUGUAAGAUAUUGAAUACGAAGUAAUAUCAAUUCUUUUGAAGAAAAUUAGUAUGAGUUUUAGCCCGACAAUAUCCACAUUAGGGGAGAAGUAAAAUAAAAGAAUUAUCCUACUUUUAGGAAGACUAGAAAAAAGGGUUGAACUUUGGUAGUUCAACAGUCCACUUUAACAAACCUCAUUGGCAAAGCUAGUUUUACAUCUUAGAUUAAAAAAAGUUGAGAUAACAAAGCUUAAAAGAACCUUAAAAUCAAUUUACUCUAAUCUCAAUUGAAAAUUUAAAGAAGUUGUUGCAUCUUCUUUGAGUUGUGCUUUUACAUAAGAUUAAUUAAUAAUUUUGUUGUCCGGUUCAAUGACAUUUCUUGUCAAACACGGGUCACUUGACCAAUUUGUGAUGAAUCUUUUUAUUUUUGUCAAUAUUGGAAUUUUAGCAACUUUCUACAUGAUGAAAGGAUCAAAACACUAGAAAAUCUUGGAAUUUAACAAAAUCUUCUAGUUUUAUUGAUGGAAGUAUAUCUUUUAGCAUCGUAACACUUUAGGAAUUUUGUUAAAAUAAUCUUGAUAGACUUUUUUUCUUUUACACAUAAAAUAUAUUACUAUACAAUAAUUUUUUCUUGAAGUUACACUUACUCUCUCUUUAUGCUUUUUUUUCAUUUUAAUAAUUUAUUUAUUUUAAAUGAUAGUUCAAAAACAUUACAAAUCUUUCAUAUUUUCUCAAUUUGUUAAAUUAAGUCACAUAAAUUGAUACGAGGCAGUAACAUUAGUAUUCAAAAGUAAAAAAAAAUGUUUUAGCUGUAGUAACUUUAUCUUAUCCUUAACCAGAGGUCAAAGGUUUGAUUCUAGGUAUGGAGAAAACUAUGUUGAUUCGACUAUAUGGAUCGCUAUCCCCGAAUGAAGCCCUAUACAACACAAAUCCAGAUUAAUCGGGCUCUAAUGCGAUACCGGAUGAGAAACAAAAAAAAAAAAAACUUUACCUUACCUGCUUCAUGUUUUUACUAUUUUGUCCUUUUAGUACCUUGUCGUCAGCAGGAGGUCUUAUUGUAGUCAGUUUGCAGAUUGUCUCACAUGGUGUGCGCCAUUCCUAAACAUCUCCAUUAUUCCCAUUUUAUAUAUCUUUAAUAAUCAGUAUGUACAAUGUAUAACCCCCCACCCAACCCAAACAAUUUCUGACAAAACUGACCUUCUUUCAGUUGACUCCUGUUUCUCUGAUUCUUGAUCAUUCAGAAGAUCAUUCUUGAGCAUUAUCCAAGUUUUCAUUUUUACACUUACCCAGGUAAUAACUCAUCAAUUUAUCUAAUGGGGUUUUUGUAUUUUUGAAAAAUAUUUAUGGGUUUUUAUUUUCUUGACUUUUUUUUUGAGCACCCACUAUGUUUGUUUGUUUUUUAAAUGAGUUUAUAGCCUUUUUAUUGAUAUCUAUGAUCACUUUAACUAUCGAAUUGUACUUUUGGUCUGAUGAUUUGGAUGAUUGGUCUUAAAAUUAUGUUAAAUAACAAGGGUCAAUUGUUGAUGUUUGCAAUGUAUAGUGGAAGUCUGUGCAGUUGCCAAUUUUCAAUCACUGAGUUCUGUGUAAUUCAUUUAAGCUGCGGGUCUAUAGGAAAUAGCUUCUCUAUCUCUACGAGAUAGGGGUGAGGUCUGCAUAUAUUGUAUCCUCCCCAGACCCCACUUGUGGGAUUACACUGUGUAUGUUGUUGUUGAGUUCCGUAUAAAUCUUGGGAAUUAUGAGGAGUUGUGAAGAUUGAGUAAUAAUUUUUUGAGUUUAGAGUUUUGAUCAGAUUAUUCAAUUUGUUUUUGUUUCUUUUUUACAAUGAGUCACAAGGGCUGAGUUGAGGAAUCUAAGUUUGGUCUUGGCUGUGUAAAACUUAGGCUACACGAAGAAUGUGAGAAAAGUAAAGGUUUUUUUUUUUUUCUCAAAAAAUAAGAAUUGCUGAAAUGAGGAUGUGCACUUCGAGUAUUUCCUUCGGAUAUGGAAGCUUCUCCUUGAGUUGCUGCUCAUGUUUAAGCAAACUGAUUAAUGGAUGAUGACUAUCUGUUAUUACAUCAAUUACAAGUUCAUUAAUGAUAGUAGAAAUGGAGAAGAGCUUGAUAGAUUCUAAAUGUUGUUUCUGAUCUCUUCCAGCCAAACCAUUAAUCUAGGUUUAUAUUGUUCCGUAGGCAGUUUGUUCCUUAAUAACUUAGUGGCAAUAAGCAAUAUUUUCGUGUUUGUAUUUGCCUGUUGCACCGUCUAGGAAAUGUGAACAGGAAAAUCCUGCCAAGCAUUAAUGCAUUUUGCGUCCUCAAAGCUUCUCUUAGUUUGGAUCUCGCAUUUUCAAUCUUCAAUCUGGUAAUUUGAAGAUUUUUAUACCAAAUGUAUUGUUCGAUAGAGUUUUUAUCCAUCAAAUAUCUAGUUAUGACGUGGCAUGUGAUGCCUAAAUGGCUUAUUGACAUAUUUGGGUAUAGGAUAAGCCAUUUAGGCAAUAGGGAGUGCUAACUGCUAAACUUGUGGUGGUGGUGUCUGGUAUGAGGUGUUGAUCAAGAAAGAGAGUGGUAAAGAGAAUGAUCUUUAUCAUUUUCUAGUUAUAAUGUCAUCAGUUGAGGUGCUAAUCUACUGGUAGUGGAGCUAGAAUCUUUAAGGGUCUAGUUUAAGGGAUAAACAUACUAAAAAUUCGAAUUCUGAUGUUAGUUCAAUUGCAGCUAACGAAUGAAAACAUGCAAAUGUCGGUAGUAACACACAGUGGCGGAUCCAGGAUUUUCAUUAAGGAGUUUGAAAAAUAAAAACAAAGUGCUUGUGAUUUGAACUUGGAACCUCAAAAGGAAUUUUAAACCCCUAAACCAUUGAGCCAACCUCUAUUCUUGUGUUCAGGGGAUUCAAAAUCCAUCUCUCUCUCUCUCUCUCUCUAUAUAUAUAUAUACACACACAUACAUACACAACAACAACAACACACCCAGUAUAUUCCCACCAAGUGGGGUCUGGGGAGGGUAAGUGGGGAUUAUAAGUGUACGCAGUCCAUACCACUACCUCAGAUGUGAGAUAGAGUGACUGUUUUCAAUAGACCCCCGGCUCAAAAUAAAACAAUCUAGGCAAGGAAUAGUAAAAGGACAAGAUACAAUAGAAAUCAAUACAUCCAAUAAUAACAUAUACAGGAUACACCAAGUAAUGCAACAAAAGAUACAUCAUCCUAAAUGCACACACAAACACACACACACACACACACACACACUCUCUUUAAGAAAACCUUAUAUAUACCGUGUAGUUUUUUGCCGAGCGCGUUUGGCUGAACACCUUACUCCCUCUUUAAUCCGCCCUAACACGUACAUGAAAUACCUACUGAAAGAUGAUAAUGAGAUCAUACAAAGAAAUUGUAGCCACUGACUAGGCAAUUAUUCCUCUCCGUGCUCGAGUGUCAUGAACCAAUGAAGGCUGAUUAAGAUUUUUCAUAUACUAUAUAGUUCUCAAUGGAUUAUCCUGUUUGUGCAAGUUGCAAGCAGCAAGCAGCUAGUUUCUUAUUAGCAUUAUAAAUGAAAAAACUGAUAUUAGGUAUGUUUUUGUGAGUGUGAUUUUAAGCUUUGUGUAGCUAAUGUCAUCUGAAAUGGUUGUAAUUCAAGGUUUAUGUUCAGAUUUUGCAAUCCCAUACGGGUGCUAAUAGUGGGGGGUGUUUCUCUCAUAGUCAUGUACUCAUGUCUUGUGAAAACUCAUCACUCUAAUGGGGAAAUGGUUCUUGCCUUUAUGUCCUUGAUGACAACGAGCUGCCUGAAUAAACAAUCAUAUGGGCUUAUAUAUAUAUAUAUAUAUAUAUAUAUAUAUUGCCGCCAUGUGACCAGGAGGUCACGAGUUCUAGCCUUGGAAACAGCCUCGGCAGAAAUGCAAGGUAAGGCUGCGUACUUUAUAUGACGGGAGCUUUAGUGCACCGGGCUGCCCUUUAUAUUUUCAAUUUGCCAAUGAAAAAAGUUGCAACUAUUUUCUGCUACAUUGAUGAGGUUUUUUCUUUCUUUCCAAUCUGUGGCUCUUGCAUGAGUUGUUUUUGUUCUGAUCCAUGGUUAUAGCUGUGUUCUUGUGAGAGUUGCACUAUUAAAUCUGAAACUUUAAUUUAUCAUCAUUUUCACUACAGUGUGCAGUGGUUGAAUAGUUUAACUGAUUAUACCAGUAAAGUUCCCUGAAACUAUGAGUACUGGUCCAACAAAAUCUAUGUCAAAUGGCUUUGAGAAUUCUUUGAGACCGGAAGAAAAACAGACCAAGGUAUCUCAUUUUUUGAAAGUUUCUUUCAUGGUUUUAAGCUGGGUUUGCGCUAACAGUACUUUAUAUUUCUAGCAGAUUGAUGAGAUGAGAAAAUUGAUUGGUCCGCUUUCAGGUAAGUUGGCCCUUUAUUGCUCUGAUGCAUCCAUUUCAAGAUAUUUAACGGCUCGAAGCUGGAAUGUGAAGAAGGCAGCUAAGAUGCUUAAAACGACCCUGAAGUGGAGAUUUGAUUACAAGCCUGAAGAAAUUCGUUGGGUACUGUUCCAGAACCCCUCUCUCUGUGUCAUAUUCUGUUUUACCAUCUUCAAAAGUGUUCACACAUUUGUUUGGGAUUUCUUGUUGAACUUAUGGAACCUGCAUUUAUGGGUCUUUCUUUCCUUUUCCUAUCCUUUUCUGUUCUGUGGAGAAUAGAGAAUGAUGUAUUUUGUUGAUUGAAAUUAAUUUGUUUUGAGAUUUACGCCUCCUCAAUGGUUAGACCUUUGUCAUGAUUGCUUCAUAAUUAUUCGUGAUAUCUUUUUUCCUUUAGAUUGUUUCGUGCAUUACCUCAGUCUGUAUCUGCAAAACUGCAACCUUGAAGCCUGAUAGCAGUAUCCUCUGUUGUUUCUUGCUAUUUUUCAAUUUUUUCAAAAAGCAUUUCUUUGAUACAGGAUGAUGUGGCUAUUGAAGCAGAAACAGGCAAAAUUUAUAGGUCAAACUAUAAAGACAAAUAUGGGAGGCCAGUUCUUGUCAUGAGACCUCGAUGCCAGGUAGGUUUCAGUUUUGCUUUUCCUUUCUUGGGUAAAAGACUUUUGUGUUACAAUCGUAUUGCUUAUGAUUUUCGUAUCCAACCAAUAUUGCAAGGAAAAUGAACAUUUUAAAACCAGUUAAACUCAGUCAAGUACGUGGAGUCAUUUACUUGUUGAUACAUAGUUGAUACGGGUGUGUGUGAGUAAUUUAUAUGGGCGGAUGCAGUUAUUCGCUAAUCAAUUAGUGUAUUAUGAAGAACUUUCAAGUGUUCAUAAACAUGUCAAACCCUUUGACACCGGCAAAUAAAGGAUCUAUGUAAUAUAGGCUUCAAAGCUACAAUGUCUAUAUCAUUCUUUUUGUGUUAUGUAUAUUACAUUAUUUCAUGAACCAAUUCAAAUUGAUUAUGCUCGUCUGUCAGCAACUAAGAAAAUAUACUUCAAAAUAUGCUAUUAAUAAGUUGCACCAAUUAAUGAUCGGCCACAAGAAACUAACACUAGCUUGGUAAAAACAUUUUUGAGUCUCUCCUUGCAGAACACGAAGUCUAUAAAAGGACAAAUCAAGUAUUUAGUAUAUUGCAUGGAAAACGCUGUUAUAAAUCUCCCAGAAGACCAAGAACAGAUGGUCUGGUUGAUUGAUUUUCAUGGAUUCAAUUUAUCACAUAUCUCAGUCAAGGUGACAAAAGAAACGGCUCAUGUAUUGCAAGACCAUUAUCCUGAAAGGCUGGGCAUAGCUAUUUUAUAUGAUGCACCCAAAAUAUUCGAACCAUUUUGGAAGGUAACUCUCCCUCGAACUUGUUUAGGUUAGCACUUGUUAAUUUUGUGAAUGUUACACAAUAGGAUUCUACUUUUAUAAUGUGUACGACGCAACAGGAUUCUACUUUUUAUAAUGUGUACUGAAUGAAUGUUUGAUUAUAGUCAUUGGCAGUGACCUCCAACGUUAACAUUGAAGCUAACAGACUUCUUGAAAAUAAGAGAUUUUCUGACUCAGUGUGAGGCUCAGUGUAAGUAAAUGCCAAAGAAAAAUAUUCAUGCAUGGGGUAGUCAUGAGAUUGCAGGACUCCCAGCAUAGUCGAUUGGUGCUUGCACUCGUUGUAUGAGCUGUGUCGCUUUUUAAGAUUUCCUCUAUCCAUCUUCUGUAGGCCAAGUCCUUCACUCCGGAGUCUGAGUUUGCUGGCAGCUUGUUAUCAUGAAGAUUGGGACCAGCUUUGUUAGCCAAAACUGAGCCGAAGUUGUAAUGACUUCUGGCUUUCUGAGGCUGCAAGUUCAGUGUCUUGCAUCGUUUGCAAUAUUAUAAUGAUUUUAUUAGAAAUUCAGUCAGAUUUCUUUCAGUCGUGUGUAAGAUGAUUGAUGCAUUUUGGUGCAAACCAUGGCUUUUCCGGAGGGGCAGAAAUGCUGAAACUUUGAAGGAUGCUGUCUGCAUUAGAAAACUUAAUUCACGUAUCGCGAUGCAUUGACUAGAGUAAGAAGAAAAGAGGACAGUAUUGUCAAUCAUAUGAUCAUGGAUUUCUAUUUUUUUGAAAUUUGAACAGUCAUCGAAACAAGGAGUUAUAAAAAAUAAGUGAGGAAAGAAAGGUACGUGAGAACUGAAUCAGGGCUCCGAUGAAAGCUAUUUUUCACCUGAUCAAGAAAAAAUUAAUUGGAAAAAGAUUAAGAGGCCUUUUGAAGAAAAGGAACAGAAAAAACAGAAUUGUUGACAGAUGAAUGAGAAAAGCAAAAAAGUAGGAGUUAAAUAUCAACUGCUUAUCCUCCAAAUUUGGUGGUGUUAUUGCGACCAUUAGAGCGAAAAUAUGUGCAUGCUUUAAUUUUAAGCAUUCCAAGUUGUUGCAUUACUUAAGUUUACUUAUUCUAUUCCUUGGGAUUCCCUUUGAACUCAGUUUUCUGAACUAUUGAGAUGACGCAUCCCUUACUUGCAGCAUCUCCGUUUGCGUUAGCAGGUAACUAAUUCUUUUAUUUGUCCAAAUGAUGCAGAUAGCAAAGCCUUUCUUGGACCCAAAGACUGCCAGCAAAGUCAAAUUUAUGUAUUCAGAUGACCCCAACAGCAAGAAAAUAAUGGAGGAACUGUUUGAUAUGAGUCUGGUGGAGUCUGCAUUUGGCGGAAAUGAUGAGGCUGAAUUUGAUGUCAACAAAUAUGCUGAGAGGAUGAGAGAAGAUGAUAAAAAGUUGUCUUCAUUCUGGAAGAUAAAAGACGAUAAUUCUGCAUCAAGUGCACAACCAACUUUGACAGCUGACCCCUCUUUAGAGUCGACAAAUUCAGAUUCUGAUUCGGAAGUCAUAGACGAGAAAGCAGAGAAACCCUUCUCUUGAUGUUGAUGAAGAGGAAUUAUCAGUUGAGGAAACUUUGCCUGGAAAUGGGAAUGUUGACAAAUUAAAGCAGUGCAACUAAGGACAAUGUCUUCAACCUUUCAUUUUUUGCUGUUUUUUUGAUUGCUCCUAGUUUUGCUGACUAAAUGGGCAAAUUAACCAUUUCACCAAGUGGUUCAUAACUGAAGUUCUCGGCAGAGAGCAUUUUAAUCUAGGUGGUGUACUGAAUGAUAUGUUAUAAAAUGAGUGUUCUGCCUCUUAAUACUAGGUAGUUCUUUUUGGAUUUUUUGCAUAAUACACUCACUCAGAAUAGAUAUACCAAUUUUCCAAUACAAGAAAAUGUGGAGAUACUAGCUUUAGCCCAGCCCCUACAAACAAAAUUUCUACCAGAACUCACAGCAUGACUUUGCAGGAGACAAACAGUGCCGUGUAGCAGAGUGGGGAGUAACUGGUGCACAAUGGUGCCAAAAAAGAAAAAAGAAAAAAAAAAAAAACCCAACUGCACAAAAUUUUGUGUCAGCAAAUCAGCAAGGGAACAUGAGCUGAUCCCUGGAGAGAGUCUGUUUUCCAUCUGGCAAUUAUUUGAUCAAUAGCAGAAAAGAAAAAAAAGAAACAACAUAAUGAAAAUGGAUCCACAUAGCUAGCUGAGAAAAGAAACCCCCAUGUAUAUUCUACAUUUUCUUGUUUAAGGGCUGUAUAGAUGAACAAAAACAAUAGUAGCUCAUUGCCCUGUUUCUGUCUACUCAUAUUUAAUCAAACCAACAUAUUCUACAUUAAAAUUCACAGCAUCAAACACUUCUAGAACAACAUUUCUGACUACAUUGAAUGUAAAAUGAAAAAAAACAAAUCAAUUUCAUUUCCAAGAGAAACUAAUAUCUCCAAGAGGCACAUCAAAUCUACUUCAGCUGACAGCAAGAUCCUGCAAAACGUGUCAUAAGCAGAUUAAAGAAUCAUAACAGAUGUUUCAAAGAACAGGACACCGGUAAAUCGCCAUACCUCGUCAGGUUUCCCAAACAUAUCAUCUAGAUUUUGUCUGUACUGAGCCAAUGUCUGUGAUUACGAAAAAGAAAGGUCAAACAAAAAUAAUCAAAUAGCUACUAUAGGCUAUAUGCUAAAAUGCAGGAUUUUAAACAAAUGUAAAGACUACUUGCUUUGCUUUUGACUUGUUUCUUCUGUACUAGCUGAAGAAUACCUCAAUUAAUGCUAAGAGAGGUGAAAACCUGAGUGUUCUUAUUAAGAGAACUUAAAUCAAAUGAAAUUACAAAGUAUAGAAGCAAGCGCCCCUAUUCGGCCAAUGUUAGAGGUAGCAACCACUUAAUUUUCUGAAAAUAUACGAGCACACAGUUUGAUACUUACUUAGCGAGUUUGAAGUUUUAAGUUUGUGAUGUAACCCUAUUGUUAUGUCAAAUAAUAGCCUUAGCAUGUCCUACGCUAGUUUUCUCAUCGUUCCAUUCAAGCAAAUUAAACAGUAUAACAACAGGAUAAGUUACAUACACUGGUAUAAGCAUAGACCCCUGCCUCGGAUGGUGCUGGAGGACUUCCUCUGCGAAUAAACCUUCCAUCUUUGAAAAUGUAAAGCAUGGGGAUUCCAGUGGCAAGUUCCAAACUUAUAACCUGAUAAGUAAAGUUUCAAUUCGUAAUGUUUCUUAACAGGACAAGACAAAAAGUGCAUGAGAUUCCAAAAGUUUGAAAUUCCACCUCUUGGGAUGUUAGCUUGUCAAGAUACAUAAUGAUAGACCUUAAUGAGUUCCCAUGGGCGGCAAUCAUUAGAUUUUUUCCACCUGCCAGUUGGGGUUCAAUCUGCAACAUUAAAUCAACAAUGUCAUUUAACAACCAAAAAGAUAGGGUUGAUAACAUGCUGGAAAGGAAAUAUGCUUCAGCUUACGUGUUCUUUGAAGUAGGCAACAGCUCUCUCUGCACACAUUUCCAAGCUCUCUCCAUUUGGAGGAGGAAUAUCAUAGCUACGACGCCACUCAUGAACCUGUUCCUGUCCAUAUUUAUCAGCUGUUUCCUGCUUAUUAAGACCUUGUAAUUCCCCAUACCUACGAAAUAGCAAAGUCAUACAUCAGCACCAUCAACUGAUAUAUUAAGAUAUAGAAAAAAUGACUUUAGAAGGAGAAGAUAAAUUACAUUCUCUCAUUUAGUUGCCAAGCUGUUACAACUGGUAUACAUUGCUUUAUGGUCUCUUCACUAAAGAUCUGACUCCAAGCUCCUGCUUGCUCGCUCUCUUCAUGAAUGAUAGUUGGCACCUAAAAUUGACAUGAAAGUGACAAUUGUACAUAUUUUAGGAUACCAAUACAGAAGCCUCAAACACUUCAGAGCAGAAUGAUAAACCAAACUGAAAGGAGUCUACUGCAGUUUGAAAGCAUCUGUGGGCAAUGCACUAGGCUUCUAAUCAACCAUAAUAUUUCUAUAUAUUGUGAUACAGUUACUCCCAAACACAUCUUAUCCUUGUGAAAUGAAAAAAUAAGGAAAAUCCAAGUUUUACAAGCUUUAACCACAAAUUACCUUCUUGCAGCGGUGCUGGGUCAGGGCAAGCAUGGCAGUCAUUUGAGCACGAAUCAAAGAAGAAGUAUAGAUCAUGUCGAUUGGUAUAUUGCUAAUUCGCUUCCCGGCGUCAACAGCCUCUUCCACACCCUUUGUAGUUAAGGGCACAUCCACGCAACCAGUAAACAAGUUUUUUUCAUUCCACAUAGACUCACCAUGUCUGAUCAGGAUCAAAGCAGCUUCACCUGAAGGGGAAAGGGGAAAAUGAUAAUAAGCUUAAAACAAUCAUAUAAUUUAUCCCACGAGAAUCAUUUCUGGGAAGGGGGAUAUAAGUGUGAUAACAGGAAAAAAUGAAUGAUCACAGAAAUUUUUAUCUUAUGUUGUGCCUAUGAUUAUUUUGAAAACAACAGUUCAAGAGAUGGGCUGUCAUACUUGUUUUAUUCUUGGAGUCACUGGUGGUGGCACUUGACGAUGCUGAAGCUUCAUCGAAAACCAUAGCCUGAGAACCAGAGGCUUGAAUUACACAAGUACUUCUCUUUCUAGAACAAAAACUUCCUCCUCUCAACAACCCAACAUCAACCUUGAAACCCUUAGACAUCAAUCUCAAGGAAACACGUCCAUAAUCAGGACACAAUCCAGAGUUACCAUUAUUUCUACAAGACUGGAGAGUCCCCCCAACUGUUUGGUAAAGUGUCGUUGCAGCCAUACUGAGAUCAGAGAAAAAUAAUUGCCAAUGAAAGUUCAUGCAAAUCAAAAGCAGCAGCAUUUCAACUAGACAAGAUGGAACAAGAAAGUACAACACAGUUACACACAGAAGAACAGAGGAACCAAUUCUGAGAGAUAUGGUAAAAAAUUAGGAGCACUUCAUAGGUCAUAGCCACAUAACUUAACCCAAGAUGUUGCCGACCUUAUCAGGGAUUAUCUCUACCUCGUUUCCACCAUCAAGAUGAAAAUGAAUAUGUAUACACAAACAAUGAUAAUUUUCCAUCUUAUUUCAAAGAAUUCGAAUUUCAUUUUUAAAACUAUAGAGAGAAAACGCAAAAGAAAAAAUGUAGAGCAAAAUCCCAUCAAUUGAAUAAGCAUUACCAACAAAAUUAGCAAUCAAGAUAGAUCUAAUUCAAGAUUAAGAACUGCAAACCUACUUACCAACAGAUGUGGCAUCGCUUAAAGAAAGUGGGGUGGCCGAUAUUGAAUCAUAUAUACAUUAUAUCAAAAGAUGAGAGCAGAAAUCAUGAAAAAGAAAAAGUAGAGAUCAUAAAAUCAAAACAUCAACCCGUUUACAUAGAACAUAUCAAAAUGAAAACAAAACUCACAUAUAAACAAUUCUGAGAGUUAAUGGUAAAAAAUUAUGAACAUUUCGUAGGUCAUAAGCCAUCAUUUACUUAUACAAGGAAGAGGUCCAACAAUUGACCCAAUAAAUUGCCUCCUUAUCAGGAAUUAUUUCUACAAUGUUUACACCAUCAAGAUGAAAAAUGAAUGUGCUAUACACCAAAACCAAGAUAUCCAUCUUAUUUCAAAGUAAUCAAUUUCAGUUUGAAAGCUAAUCCCUCCAUUCCCUUUUAGCAUAUCAAGAGAAUGACAUAUUCUUUUCAUGUUUUAACCUCAAGAUUAAUUACUUAUUCAUGAAAAUAAUUUCCCAAGACCUAAAACUAUACAUCAAUUACUACGGGCAUUGUGAUAAACUAUUCAUAUUGAUCAUUGUUUUGUAACAUCUAUCCUUAACAGAGGGAAAGAUAACAUAGAGAGAAAAUGCAAAAGGAAAAGCAUAGAGCAACAUCCCACCAAUUCAAUAAGUAAGCAUUACCAAUAAAAUAGCAAUAAUGAUGGAUCUAAUUCAACUAAUUAAAAUAGAAAUCACUAAAACAAAGUGGUGGUGGCCCAUAUUAAAUCAUACUAUACAUUAUAUCAACAGAUAAAAGUAGAAAUCAUAAAAUCAAAACAUCAACCCGUUUACAUAGAACAUAACAAAAUAAAAACAAAACUCACAUAUAAACCUUUCUGGGAGUUAAUGGUAAAAAAUUAUGAGCAUUUCAUGGUCAUAAGUCAUCAUUACUCAUAAGGAAGAGGUCCAAGAAUUAACGCAGGACGUUGCCUCCUUAUCAGGGACUAUUUCUACAUUGUCUCCACCAUCAAGAUGAAAAUGAAUGUGCUAUACACACAAACAAUGACUUUCCAUCUUAUUUCAAAGUAUUUGAAAUUCAGUUUCAAAGCUACUCCCUUCAUUCCCUUUCUCUCGUCAGUUUUAGCAUAUCAAGAGAAAAACAUAUUCUUUUCGUGUUUUAACCUCAACAUUAAUUACUCAUUCAUCAAAAUAAUUUCCCAAGACCUAAAACUAUACAUCAGUUAAUAUUGGCAUUGUGGUAAACUAUUCAUAUUGAUCAUUACUUUUUAACACAUAUCCUAAACAUAGCGGGGUGGCAUUGCCCAUAUUUCAAAAGCAGCAGUAUUUCAACAAGAUGGAAUUAUGAACAAAAGAACUUAUUCUGAGAGUUACCUAAAAAACUACGAACAUCUGCUAGGUCAUAGCCUUUAUUAAUUAUGAGGCAAAGGUCAAAGAAUUAACCCAAGAAGUUUCCCACAUUACAGGGACUAACAUUGUUUUCCACCAUCAAUAUGAAAAUGAAGGUGCUAUACACACAAAUAAUGAUAAUUUUCUAUCUUAUUCCAUAGUAUUCAAAUUUCAUUUUUAAAACUACAACAUAUCCCUACAUAGAAAAUGCAAAAGCACUUGAAAGCAUAGAGCAAAAUCCAUCAAUUGAAUAACUAACCAUUACUACUAAUAAAAUUAGCAAUCAAGAUUAGAUCUAAUUCAAGAUUAACAACUACAAACCAACUUACCAACGAGAUAUAACAUCAAUUAAACAAAGUGGGGUGGCCCAUAUUAAAUCAUAUACUAUACAUUAUAUCACAACAUCAACGCCAGAAAAUGUGUAAUACACAGAGAACAUAUCGAAAUGAAAAAAGAACUCAACAUAUAAACAAGAAAAAGAAAACCCAGUAAAGAUCAACACAUAGAAAUAAAUAAGAGACUAUAGAUCGUACGCUUAUUUAUAAUUCCAAACGAUGCGAGAAGAUUCUUGCGAGUUGGUGAAGAAACCAAAGCAAAUGGAAACCCGAAACUAUGCUACAAAAAGCUAAGAAAGAAAAUGAAAUCUUGUUUUUGUUCCCACUUUCUUUUCUUUGUUUUGAUGAGUUUAUACCAAUAAAAGUUGACGGAGAAGAAGAUGGAACAAAAAAGAAUAUAUAAUAUACGCAAGAAGAAGACCCAGUUGCUUCACUUUACAUGCAUCAAAUGCCAAACAGAUUCUGUCUGUAUUUAUGCGGUGAAAGCAACUGGGUGGGGGGUGAUGGUGGAGAGUGAAGGGAAAAGGGACUUCUUAGGAGAAAUCGUUUUCUUGAAAAAGUAAGAAGAAAAGCCAAGAGAGAUUUCUCCCCAGAAAGUGUGUGCAGUUAGUUGGCAAUUUGGAGCUUUGAGGAGAAUAUUAUAUAGUACUAGUCUCUAUGUGGGUAGGUGUGGCUCUAUGUGUGACGUGGCAUUUUCCAUUCACUUCACUUUCUAUUUUCCCCUACUAUUCUCAUUUUGACCAUCUUUUUUACUCUUUUCCCAUUUUUCUCCCUCCUGUUUUUCACUUUCAAAAUAUGAUUUAUGAAUAACCUUUUUUUCCUCUUCAUGUUCUCGUGUGUAUCUCAAUUAAUUUUACAUAUUAUUUCUUUCGUCUUAUUUUAUUCGUUUCAAGUUGACUAAGUUGAUGUCCCAUUUUACUUAUCUCAUUUUACUUAUCAAGAUAAGACAAACUUUUCUUUUCAUGUUUUACCCUUUGCAUUAAUUAUUUUUUCUUUAAAUUAAAAUGUGAACAUCAUUUAAUAAGGGUACUUUGAUAAAUUAGCCAUGUUAUUUAUUAUUUUUCUUAAUUGUUAUGUUAUCCCAAUUUGGGACAAGUAAAAUGAGACGGAGGAAGUAUAUGUUAUCCCAUAUUAAAGUGGUAUUAGAUAAUGUUACUCAUCAAAAGUUAGAUAGAGGAAUAACGUAUUUGUAGAAGAUAUUCAAAUAAUUAGAAAAAUAAUUUCUUUUUCCUUUGAUAUUUGUCCAGUGUCCACUAAUUUUCUAUCUAGAAAUUAACAUUCACUGUCCCUCUAAAUUUUUCUGAGAGUGGAUAUACGAAUAGCGGAGGUGAAAAAUAUGAGAAUAGAAUUUGAUGCUUAAGUAUUACUUAUAAAACAUUAUACUGUAGUAGUUUGCCCUUUUAUUUGGAUACUUGGAGUAUCUUUCUCAGUUUUCGUUGGAAAAUUUUACUCAAUAUAUUUUUGUUGUAUAGUUAAAGUGCUGAUAUCUUCCUAUAGCAUAUUAAACUAGACUAGAGCAGUAGCGGAGCCACAUGCAAUUCAGGUGGUUUAUUCGAACUCACUUCGUCGAAAAAUUAUACUAUUUUUAUAUGGUCAAAAAUAUUUUUAUGUAUAUAUUAUAGAUAUUGAAUCCCCUUCGACUAGUCUGUAUAUUUACUUCUGAACUUCCUCAAAGAAAAGUCUGACUCCGCCAUUGGAUUAGAGUAUAUCAAUAAAUUAACUAAUAUAUUUAAUUAAUCACAUUUUUUAAAAUGCAAAAUCAGAAACGUUGAAGUCAAAAGUUGUUAAUAAUGGUGGUUAGUAGACAACCCUUGAAGGGUUCAUAAGGACCUAACCCUUUCGAGUCUCAACAAUAUUGACGACUUUUAAUACAAAAAAUAGUAGUACUAAACUAAAAUUAAUAUGCAGCUCUUGAAAAAUAGGCCAUUAGAAUUUAGAAUCACCAAACUCCUGCACGUGCCUCCCAUUCAUGUCACGUGCGUCAGUUUGUUCAAUAAUAUAUGGCUGCUAAUGCUAAUUACAUUUCCACCCACCUAACAAACACAAGGAUGCAUAUUGCACCUCUAGCUUCUAACGCCAACUACAUACAUAUACUUGGUUAUUUUCGGUAUUUUGAUUUUUGUGAUAUAGGCUUUAACAUAUUUUAACUUUUAAAUAUAUAUAGUUAGAAAUUUUUAUAAUGUCACCUCGUUAUAAUAAUAUUUUAUUAUAGUGAUUUGAUUUUCGUCAAAAUUGAUUUUUCAUGUUAUAUUUAUUUUUUUAUAACGGCAUUCCACUUAUAACAAUAACGGCGUUUAUUAUAAUUGUACACUCUUUAUAAAUUACUUUUCUAUAACAUCAUAUUAAAAUAUUAUGUAAUAGCAUAUUAUAAGUAAAAAAUAAAAUAUUAAAAUAUUUAUGAUAAUCAUCACUAAUGUCAUGCAUACGGUAAAUUUUAAGUACAAAUAUCUAAUUUAAAAAAAACUAUAUUUAAAUGGUGCACAUCAUUUAUUUCAUAAAUUCAUCAAAAAAAGACUAUUAAUGUUUGUUUUUUUUAUAUUUAUGCUCUUUCUAACUUUUCACACUUUUGUUUAUAAUAAAUGAGAUUUGAACGUCAAAUUUCAGUAUACAUAUAUAACAACACAUCUCUAUAGCAACUAUGAAAUUUUUGGACAAGCGUUAGUACUAUAAAGAGAUUUGACCAUAUUAAAUUUGAGUUAUUUUUAGAAGCAUAUGAAUAAAAAUUUAACAUAGCAAAUAAAUAAUUAAAUAAUUGAAUAGUUAAUAGUAGCAUAAAUAGUUAAAAACAUAUCUAAAAUAUCACAACUUUUAAGUUUUCGAGUCUCAUGGCUAAAUUAUUAUGGGGAAAGGAUAGAAACGGCACUUCAAAUUAAACUAUUUUCACGGAAAUGGCCAUGAAAUUUAAAUUCCACUUUCUAACCAUUUCAAUUUGUUGGCUUGUUUUAUACCAUUUCUACAUACCUUCUAUACAGUUUCUAUACAUAUCUUAUACAUAUAAAUAUUCUAUACGAAAAUUAUACAGUUUUGAUACACAAUUUAUACAAUUAUUGUACUUUUUUUUACACAUUUUAUACAACAAUUAUAUAAUUUUUAUACACUUCUUCUAUAUUUUUUUAAUAUAUUUUAUACAUAUUUGAUAGAACUUUACAAUUUCUAUACAUAUAUCUUAUAUAGAUAGAUAUUCUAUAUAACAAUUGUACCAUUUUUAUAUUAUUAUAUUUAAUUAUUUUUUUAAACAAUAAAAAAAAAAGAAUAUUUUUUCCCGUAAAAAAUUUAUAGCAAAAAAAAAAAAUUAAAAUAUUUUUAAAAGGGCAGAAUGACCCAAGUUGAAAACUGUAUCAGUAUUAUAUAUGGACUGUAUCUGAACUAUAUGAACCAAAAUGACCCAAAUUAGGAAACGACUAUUAAGUGAAAAUAGUAUAUCCGACUGACCACAUUUUGAAAAAAUAUCAAACUUGCGUUAUUUGUUUUAAAAAGUAUUAUACAAUGUCCUUUUCUCAAUUAUUAAAUGCGCGAAUUUACUAUCUAAAACUCAGAUUAUGGUCAAAUCUAAUCUAUAAUCUAUAUAAUAAUAUUAAUAAUAAUAUAUUAAAAGUGUGAAUACCUUUAGAAAAGUGAUUGAACUUUUUGCCCCUCAUUAAAAGACUUUGCAAUAGACAAAAUUAUAAUUUACUAUUUUUUAAAAAUUAUUAUUUAAUUUUAUUAGUUUAAUAUAAUUUAAUUUUCCUUCCAUAUUAAUACAAUAAUAUUUUUUUCAUAUUUGAUUCCUUGUAGAAUACGGGUCAAAAUUUUCAUCUUUUUUGAUAUCCUACUACACUCUAGAUAGAAAUUUAGGCGUAAAAAUCCAAUUAGAGUCGUGGCUUAAGAUUCAACUAUACUUUGUAUCUUUCGGGUUUGUUGCCAAAGUAGAUCUCCACAGAAUAAUCGAUUUAAUCCAUGAUUGCAUUAAUUUUACUGUACACAAGUUCGAAAAAUUAGCAUAUCUUAGGUAAGAAUUAAAGAAGGUAAUUAGCGGAUAUUAACAAUAGCAGGUUUGAGACAUGAACUUAUAGAGUUUGAUAAUAUUUUGUCGGUCUUUGUUAAAUUAUGUAUCCCAUAUGUUUUUACUAAUCAAUCUCGAAGAUAGUCAGGUUGCAUUGUUGAGGACACUUGAAGCUAACAUUAUGGUAAUUUUUCUCUUUUCGAUUGUGAAAUUAUUUUAUUCUGAUGUAUUUUACAUUUGGUUUUUGAUGUAUGUAUUUAAUUUGGACAAAAAUAUUUUUCGUCUUUGUUAAAUUAUGUAUUUCACAUACUCAUUAGUUUCGAAGAUCGUUAGGUUAUUGAAUAAUAUUAAUCUAUAGAAUGAUAAUAUUUUUUGUUCAAAUGUUUUUUUAUAUCAAUAAUAGGGAAAAUUGUUAAAGCAAAGCUAUAGUUUGUCUUUUAUCGCUGAAUUUGUAUUUCAUUUUCCUUUUAUUUUUGAGCAUUCAAGUAUUAUGUUUCUUUUUUAUAUUUUAAUGUAAUUGCUUGCCCUUAAUUAAAAGUAUUCGCUUUAAAUAAAAUUAUCUUUUCACUUUUUUUCUAAAAUAUUAAAAAUCGAAUUUCACUAAUUAAAAUUUGGUUAUUAAAGCUUACUUUAUUUAAUCAUAUACCUAAAAUUUAGUUAUUUUAUAGUAUUUAGAAUUUUUCGUAUUUUACAUAUAUGGAAGUCCUAAUUUGCAUAUACUAUCUACGAUGUGAAAUUUUAAAUCAAUUAAAAUUUUAUUUGUACAAGUUCCUUCCUAUUUAAACUAAAUAAGAUGAGGUCCUCCCCACCAGGAAUUGACGUUCAAAAUUGAAUCCAAAAAGAAGGAGACAAGUUCAUAUUCCACGGUGGAGGGGCCAUGUUCUCUGAUGGUGCCGAUGCCUAUGUUGACGAUAAUGACAUGUCAUUCAAUCUCAAAUAUAGUAUUUAAAUGAAUAGAUUUUAGUUUUGUGGUAUUUCAAAUUGAACAAGAUCACUUAAGUACACUCGUUGCCAACCGCUUCUGUAGCUUUAGGGUUCUUCUUUCUGAAGGAGCUUAGAAAUAUUGUUUGAACGUUUUGCCCUUCAUUAAAAGUCUUUACUUUAGACAAAAUCAUUUUUUUAAUAUUUUUUUCUAAUAUUUAAGAGUUGAAAAUUAAUUAAAUAUAUUUAUGACAAAAUCUUUCCUUAUUAGAAGUCAUCACAAUUAAUGACAACCAAUAAUUUUUUCAUUAAUUUAAGAAUUCUAAAACAACUAAAUUUGAUUUUAAGAAGAUCUGAAAAAUCUAAAAAUAAAUAUAAAAACGUUAGAAUAAGAAAAAUUUAAGAAAUAUCAAAUUUUUAAAAAUUUCAAGUAUUUAAUAAGAAUGUAAUCAAUGAUUUUAUAAAUAUUUGACUUUAAAAAUAAGGAAAGAUUUUAAAGAUAAAAAAAAAAUAGUUGUAUCACAAAUAUGGUUCAAAUUGAUGGUCUUCUCUCGGCCACUGGCAAUAAGGGAAAAAGGUAUUUCAUAUAUGUGUUUAUACUAAAAUACAUGUUUAUGUUUACAUUAUCUAUAUCUAUAAUUUAUAAUAUAUUAAAAGUGUGAAGGCCCUUAGAAAAUUGAUUUGAAUUUUUUACCCUUCAUUAAAAGACUCUUCUUUAGACAAAAUUAUCUUUUCACUAUUUUUUAAAAUUAUUAUUUAAUUAUUUUUUAUUAUAUUAAUUAGACUUCCUAAAAUAUGUGGUAGGAGAAUUAAUUAAUAUUUUCCUUUCUACUAGACUUCCUAAAAUAUAUGGGAUUCCUAAAAUAUAUGGUAGGCAAAUUAAUUAAUAUUUUCCUUUCUAUUCAAUUAAAAAAAUACUCAUAAAAUAAGACUAUAUUAAGAAAAUACUUCUAUAAAUAUUGAGAUACACGUUAAACUAGAGAACAAACUGAUUUGCGUAUUGGGAGAAUAUGACUGAUGCUUAUCUAACUUGAUUCAAUUGCAUGUCUAGAUUAGUGGAUCCUUGAUUUUUUAACCCUCAACUUCUUCACUGUUUUUGUAGCUUUGUGACACUGUUAUAUAUUUUUGUUAUAGUUUACAAGUCGUAGAUGAAUGUCGGUUGGUUUUGAAGAAUUUCUUGUUUAAAUGUUAGGUUUAAUUGUAUCGUUUUGAUAUAUUUAUUAUCUUAUUGUUUUAUUUUAAUUUACAUAUGUUAGAUAAAUGUGGGUCGGCUUUGAAAAAUUUUUUCAGGUAAAGGUAGGUUUAUUUGUAUUAUCGUAAUAUCUCUAUUAGUUUGUUAUUUUGUGAUAGUUUACAGUUCGUAGAUGAAUCUCGAUCGGCUUUAAAAAAUUUUGUGUGUAAAAUUUAAGUUUAAUUGUAUUGUUUUGAUAUCACUUUUAUCGUGCUAUUUUGUUGCAAUUUACAGGUAAUAGAUAAAUAUUGCUCGGUUUUGAGAAUUUUUUUUAUGUAAAGGAUAGGUUUAUUUGUAUUAUUUUGAUAUCUCUAUUAUCGUAUUAUUUUGUUAUUGUUUACAGGUGGUAGAUGAGUGCCGGACGAUUUUGAGAAAAAUUUUGUGUGUAAAGAUUAGAUUUAAUUUUAUUAUUUUGAUCUCUCUAUCAUUAUAUUAUUUUGAUGCAAUUUACAUAUGGUAGAUAAAUGUCACUGACUUUUAAAAAUAUUUUUGGUAAAGAUAAUGUUUAAUAAAUAAAUUCUUCAUCUUUAUAUACUCAAAAGAUAUUAAAUUUAAUUAUUAUAUUCAUCUUUAUUAUUUAAACAAAUAUCAUAUUUAAAUGUAAUAUUUAAACUCAUUAAAGUGAGGUACACGCGUAAGACGCGUACACCUAAACUAGUUAUAUUAAUGUGUGAAGGAUCUUUAAAAAGUGAUUUGAAUUUUUUAUACUUUAUUAAAGAUCUCCACAAUAAUUAAAUAAUUUAAUUUUAAAUAAUCAAACGUCACACAUACAAGAGAUUAAAUCUAAUACACCAAUAAGUUGGUGAGGCGAAAGAAAUAUUCGGAACCCCUCAAGAAUAUGCUUUUUCUGCAAUUCAAUUUUUUAUACUGUUCCUAAUUUGCCCGUCAACCUAAUGCCUAAUUCGCAAAAAGCAAUGUGAAUUGGUUAUUAUUGCUUGCACCUUCAGUUAAAUUUUAUUUGUAUCCAUUGAUUUUAUAAAAUGAAGAAAUAUUAUUGUAUAUCUGUUUAGUAAUAUGGACAAAUAAAUAUGAAUGGAGGGAUAUUAUGCCUUUCGUAGGAGUUGGGUAAGUCUAGAUCUCUUAUGGAUCAUUUGAUUGGAAAUAAGUUAUUCCGAGAUUAUUUAUUUUAAAAUUAGUUAUUUCACUCUUAAUUUAUCUUAUAGAUUUAAUUAUACUUAUAAAAAUGUGUAUUUUAUACUACUCAUUACUCUCCUUUUAAUAAUAAUAUAUAGAUAAAUUUAUAUUUCACUUCAAAUUUUUCUUGGUGCAAUUUAAAUAUAUUUAUUACUUAUUUAAAUUGAAACUUAAUGGUUUGUCCCAAUAAAAUGAUUUUAACUUUCAAUGAUAUUAAUUUUUUUCAUUACGGUGUCAUUAAUUGUUUUAUAAUUUUUCUCAGACACAUCUCUCUCUCUCUCUCUCUCUCUCUCUCUCUCUAUGUAUAUAUAUAUAUAUAUAUAUAUUCCUCUGUAUUAGUCUAUAAAGAGAGGACAAAAAAUUUAAAUUGAAAAAGAUAUCAUUCAAUUCAAAAAGUUUUAUUUUAAAUUUAAGAUAAUAUCUACAAAUAAAAUUUAAAAUAAAUUAAUCAAAGUAAUUUUAAUUAUUUGAAAAGUGGAGUUGAUAAAUAAAAACUAGAUAUGUCAUAUUUCUAUUUUUAAAUUUUGAUUUAUGUCUUAGUCAUAAUUUGCGUUAUUAAUUAUGUUUCUUGAUUGUUUUUUUAUUUUUAUUUUUAAUUUUAUUUCUUGAUCAACCUAAAAAAUUUUUUUGAUUUAUUCAAUUUGAAUGAAAUUAUAAAUAUUGAUCAUAAUACAAUAUUAUUUUUAUUUGAUAAAAUUUGGACUACAAUUAUUUUAAUUUCUUAGUAACUCACAAUUGUAAUACAAUUCAAGAAAUAAAAGGAUGUCAAAUUCUUUCUUAAAAUGGCAAGUGUUUAUAUUCUGUUUGGAUCUUUUUUUUUUUUGUUAAAAUCAAAACUAAAGUAAUUAGUCAAUUUUAAAAUAAAAUAAAAACUAUCAAUUUGAUUUGAUAGUUUGAUUUAAAACUAGCUAAUGAUAAAUUAAUAAUUUUAAAAUAAUAAAAAAUAAUUAUUUCAAAUGAAUAUUAGAAAUUAAUUAAUUGAUAUUUGCGAUUAUUAGAUAAGGAUAUUUGAAUCUUCUACAUUACUUUUCAAUAUUCUUUUGAAGCUUUAGCAUUUUAUGUUGUUUAAUUUUAGAGGGUACUUCAUUUGAAAAAUCAAAGGAUCAAUCUAUCGAAGCACAUCAAAAAUCAGUCAUAUAUUAUAUCAAAUAUAGACAACUAGAUUUGGAGUGUUAUGUUUGAUCAUAUUUUUCAAGAAAUAAAAUUUAAAAAUAUCGUAGUACAUGUAAAAUAAAGAGACUAAACUCCAAUUGAUGAUAUAUGGUAUAAAAUAUUUAUAUUUAGUUUUGAAGUUAGUAUCAUAUAUUUAAAUAAUUAUAAAAUUUAUAUAUAUAAUUUAUUGGUUCGAAGACAGAAAGCUCAAACGUAUUUGAAUUAUUUCUUAACUUAAAUAAAGAAAGAGAUGAUUUGGGGAGAAUUUAUUUCUCUUCGAGCCAUGGUUAUUUUUAAGUAAAAUAAAAAUAAAAAUAAAUAUUAUUAAAUUUAAAACUAAAUCAAACCAUAUAUUGAUUUCUUAAAUUGGUUUGAUUUAGUAUGAUUUUUCAUCAAGCCCUAAACACUUCCAUUCACCACAUUGUUUGAUCUAUAUAUAUAAAAAAUAUUGUGCAAAUUAUUAUUAUUAUUAUUGUUGUUGUUGUUGUUGUUGUUGUUGUUGUUGUUGUUGCUACUGCUGUUGUUGUUGUUGUUGUUGUUGUUGUUGUUGUUGUUGUUGUUGUUGUUGUUGUUGUUGCUGUUGUUGUUGUUGUUGUUGUUGUUAUUACUAUUAUUAUUAUUAUUAUAAAAGAUACCCCUUGUUAAUAUACCUCAACUUUGAGAUAUAGAGAUUUGGCUAUAUAUAUAUCUCUACCGUAGUACAUAUAGCUCAGACGUAUCAUUUUCGACUGAUGGAAGUGAAAUUUUUUUUUUUUCAAAUUAUUUAUUUUAAUUCUUUUAAUUAAAAUAGAAUCCUUAUAUGAGUAUAUUUGAUCCUUCUUGUAAUGUUCACGAAUAUAUUUAUACUUCUCACACAAUAUAUUUUUAUCUUUUAUUCUUUAUUCAACGACUAAUUUGGGUCUUAAGUAUUAUUUUUUAUUCAACGGCUAAUUUGGGUCUUAAGUAUCUCCCUUAUGGAUUUAUUUGCUUAUUAUUAUCUUAAUAGGCGUUUGAUCAUGAAAACUAAAAUCUUUUGUAGUUGGGGUUGGAGUUAGAGUUGGAGCUGGAAUUGAAGUUGAAGUUGGAGUUGUGUUUGGCCAUGUCUUUGUCACGUUUCAAAAUAACCCCUAGGCAUGACUGGCUCCCGAUAACACCACUUGCCGGGAGAACCAAUUUUCUAUACAUUCACAAUAUCUACAAACACUGAGAUAAAGACAUGUGCAACUUCAAGUGAAUGAAAAUAUUAUUAAACGUAAAGUAAUCAUCCACCCGGUUACCGUAAUACGAUUAAUGAAAACAACAAUACUUAAAUAGUAACUCUCUAGCCUCAAAUCCCACACCAAGACCAUGGAGCAUCUAAACAGAGUUACAUGAGUUCAACUUUUGGGCAUGCAAGCCCAACAUAAGAAUUAUAAUCUAAAAUAACUAAAGUUGAAUGACUGCCUCCACGAACAAUGCGAAGGCUCACCUUAGCAACAGAAUCCACACGUAAAGACUGUCAGCCACAAGUUUCUCUCUCCACAACCGUAUAUGCAUGUAUGCAAGGAAUGAGUGAGCUAUAUAAAUGUAAUCCAGCAAGGUCCUCGACCCGCUACUUUAAUACCCCUGAAACAAGUGUUCAAAAAAAUACAAGGCACAACAAAAUACACAAAUAAUAUGUACAUAAUAUAUCUCAUAAGACAAUCUCAAUAAGAUUCAAAAGGAAGUUCAAAAAUGUCACUCUAUAUCUCAACUCAAUCCACUCUCAUGACUUGUCAUAAAUGGCAGUGAAGGUGAUCGGCCUAACACCCCGAUAAGUCCACGGCAGCAUAUAUAAUGCUCCAAGAAGUCUACUACGGCAGCAUGUACAUGCCUCUAACAUAUUACAGCAGCAUAAAUAAUGCCCCUAACAUAUUAUGGCAGCAUAAGUAAUGCCCUUAACAUAUUAUGGCAGCUAUGUAUUCCCCUAGAGACUAUAACGACAACAAAUAAAAAUAUGUUCAACACCCCAACAUCACCUCACACAUUAUCACGCACUAAGCAGCUCUCACUAAACUUUACAAAUACAUAUCCACAAAUAAUCAUUACCACCGAUUCUACUAAGUCGCACGCUUGUUCUAACAUAUGGACUAGGCAGAAAAAUAUAUAUCUAUUUUUAUAAAGUAGUUUGAAAAGCAAGCAUCAAAGUUUAAAGUCUCACUUACCUCGAAUGCACAAUUCAAGCACCACCUUCUAGUAAAUCAAAAUAUGCUCCCGAAAACUCAAAGCAUCUUAAACUACACCAAAAAGGGGUUUAAUAUAGUCAAUACCCCAUCAACGAUCAUACCGUAAAAUUUCAGAGCAAGUCAAAUAUCAAAGUCUAUCACUCAAUCCAAUUACUCAAAUUAUGUACUUCUACCAUUUAAAAUGCAACUAUCAAACUUGUAUCUUAGUAUGCAGAUUUUCAAGUCAAAUCACUACUAUAUUCCAUUUAAAUUUUUGACAAAGAUUAAUAUGAAUUUUACAACUGCAAGGUAGGAAAUUAUCAAUUUAGAUUAUAAUAUUGCACUUUUCAUUCGCUGAUUGUCAGUCAAGCCACUGUAAAGAAGCUAACCUUUUAUGUGGUUAAUCUUUAGUUCCACAUUCUUGAGCAUCUGGUGCUCAACAGAACAAAGGAGAGUGACGUUCAAGUUACACCAUCAAAGUCCAUUAGAUAAUGACUAACCCUGCUAAGCUAUUAGCCAAUCAUAAGUACCAAAUAAUCUUAUUCUAUCACUUAAUAUCAUGAACAAACACCUGCACUAUUGUAUGUAAAUUUUAAUUCCAUGCUAAAGAACAAUGGAAAAGUUUCAUACCUUAAUAACUGAGAAGCUUUAAUCCCACCUUUAUGUUCCCUAACUUAUAUUUUUUUUCCUCAUAUACUGUCUGCUGAUUUCUUCCGAGGAUAAAGGGAGCAAUAUAUAGCCCUAGAAGUAUACUUAUAACGUUAUAAACAUGAAAGCUGAAGAAGGCUUUUGGCUCGUCCACUUUUAAUUUCCUUAAUUACCAUUAAUAAUUGGUUACAAUUACCAAUUAAUCGUUUAUUAAAAUGAAAUAAUAAGCUGGCUAUUACAUUUUCCCCUACUUAAAAUAAAGUUUUUCCUCGAACGGGUCUAGAAUCAUACCUGAAGUAUCAAAUAAGUGAGGAUAUCUAACUCGCAUCUCCUCCUCGGACUCUUAAGUAGCUUCUUCGAUUGGAUGAUUACGCCACAAUACCUUGAUUGAAGCUAUCUUCUUCGACCUCAACUAUCGCACUUGCCUAUCAAGAAUAGCUAUUGGGCUUUCCUCAUAAGUUAGAUUCUCAUCAAGCUCUACAUCCUCUGGCUAGAUCUUAUGGGAAUCAUCACGAAUAUAUUUUCUAAGCAUCGACACGUGAAGCACAGGAUGAACCGCAAACAAUCUUGGAGGUAAAGCGAGCCUAUAAGUCACCAAUCCAAUUCGGUCCAAAAUCUCAUAAGGACCAAUAUAUCUAGGACUUAGCUUACCUUUUCGACCAAAUCUCAUAACUCCUUUCAUUGGAGAAACUUUCAAAUAAACUUUUUCCCCCUUUUCAAAUUCCAAAUCACGGACCCUCUUAUCUGCAUAGGACUUCUAUCUACUUUGUGACGUCUUAAGUCGGUCCCGUAUCAAUGCAACCUUCUCCGACGCUUGCUAAACUAAAUCUGGACCUAAUAAAUGUGCUUUGCCGGGCUCAAACCAGCCAACUGAUGAACGAAACUUGCGCCCAUAAGCCUCAUACAGUGCCAUUUGAAUGCUCGACUGGUAAUUAUUAUUAUAAGCAAAUUCUGCCAAAGGCAACUGUUCAUCCCAAUGGCCACCAAAAUCAAUCACGCAAGCUCUAAACAUGUCCUCCAAAAUCUAAAUAACUCGUUCAGACUGCCCGUCAGUCUGCGGAUGAAAAUUUGUACUCAACUCAACUUGCGAACCCAAAAAUUUCUGAAAAAAUCUCCAGAACUCAGCAGUGAACUGUGCACCUUGAUCAAAUAUGAUCGAUAUAGGCACACUAUGAAGCUGAACUAUCUCCCAAAGGUAAAUUUUUGCUAACUGCCUCGCGCUAUAAGUAACUCGAAUUGGUACAAAAUGGGCAGAUUUUGUAAGUCUAUCCACUAUCACCCAAACUAAGUUGUGCUUCCUGAAUGUAUUUGGCAACCAAACAACAAAAUCUAUAGUAAUCCUUUCCCAUUUCCAUUCUGAAAUAAUCAAUUUUUGCAUUACUCCACCAGGUUUUUGAUGUUCAUAUUUGACCUGCUGAUAAUUUAAACAACUAGUCACAUAUUUUAAAAUAUCUACCUUCAUACCUUUCCUUCAGUACAACACGCGCAAGUCUUGAUAUAUUUUUAUAGCACCAGGGUGGAUAGAGUAUCGCUGGCUAUGAGCCUCAUCAAGAAUUAGCUGUCUCACAUCACCCACAAUGGGAACACACAAUCUUCUAUGACGAUGUAACACACCUUUACCAUCAAUAGUGAAAGACUUAACACCUUCAUUCUGCACUCGAUCUUGAAUCCCAACAAGGUAGGGAUCAUUAUAUUGGCAAGUAUUAACUUGCCCAACUAAGGACGACUGAACCACCAUAACUGCAAGUAACUUUCCAGGCACCGUGCGAUCAAUUCGAACUCCCUGAUAAAGACUGGAUAUCCAUAGCCAGAGGUCAUUUUUGGACAAUAAAUUAGGCCAAGCUGCUCAUAGACUUCCUACUCAAAGCAUCUGCUACUAUAUUCGCCUUUCCAGGAUGAUACAAGAUAGUGAGAUCAUAAUCUUUAAGUAACUCUAACCACCGUCAUUGUCUCAGAUUCAAUUUUUUUUUCUUAAAUAAGUAUUGAAGACUCUUGUGAUAGUAUAAAUUUCACACGGCUCCCCAUAAAGAUAAUAAUGCCAGAUCUUGAGUGCAAAUUCAACCGCAGCCAAUUCCAAGUCGUGAGUCAGAUAAUUUUUCUCAUGGACCUUUAGCUGUCAUGAAACAUAUGCCACUACUUUACUAUUCUGCAUUAAAACACAACCCAACCCAAUUUGAGAUGCAUCACGAUAAAUAGUGAAACCACCCUCUGCCACAGGUAAGAUCAAAAUCGAAGCCAAAAUCAAUGCCGUCUUUAAUUUCUGAAAACUUUCUUCACAUUUAUCUGACCAUUGAAAAACGACACCCUUUUGAGUUAAGCGCGUCAAUAGAGAAGCUACCUUUGAUAAGCCUUCUACAAACCUCCUAUAAUAAUUAGCUAAACCCAAGAAACUACGUAUCUUUGUAACAGUACUAGGUCGAGGCCAAUCUCAGACUGCUUUAAUCUUCUUUGGAUCAACAUGAAUCCCAUCUCCUGACACCACAUGCCCCAAAAAUGAAACUGUGCCCAACCAAAACUCAUACUUUGAGAACUUGGCAUAGAACUUAUGUUCUCUAAGUGUCUGCAGCACAACUCUCAAGUGUUGUUCAUGUUCCACCUCACUCCGACAGCAAACCAAAAUAUCAUGAGUAAACGAAAAUGUCAUCAAUGAACACAAUAACAAAAUGGUCUAAAUAUGGCUUGAAUACCCUGUUCAUGAGGUCCAUAAAUGUUGCAGGUGCAUUAGUCAGUCCAAAAGACAUCACUAAAAAUUCAAAAUGCCUAUACCUGGUCCAAUGAUAACCCAAUCUCAAGUUAAUUUUAGAAAAGUGAGUAGCACCCUAUAACUGAUCAAAUAGGUCAUCAAUUCGAGGCAAGGGAUACUUAUUCUUGAUUGUCACCUUAUUUAACUGUCUAUAGUCAAUGCACAUUCUCAUCGUACCAUUUUUUUUCAUAAAUAACACAGGUGCACCCCAAGGUGAUACACUGGGCCUGAUGAAUCCCUUAUCAAGCAAUUCAUAAAGUUGAACUUACAAUUUUCUCAACUCAGCAGAAGCUAUACGAUAAGGUGGAAUAGAGAUAGGUUGAGUCGUACCUGGCACUAAAUUAAUGUUGAACUCAAUUUCUCUCAUCGGAGGUAACCCGGGCAAAUCAUUUGGAAACAUAUCAAUAAGCUCUCAAAUAAUGGGAACAUUAUUUAUAGAAACUUUCUCUGCUCGAGUGUCGUGAAUGGUAGCGAUAAAACCUAAAUAGCCAUGGUUAAUCAUUUGAUGGGCUUUUAUAUAAGGAUAUUAUCUUUCCUUGAGUCAUAGGAGUUAUACCUUUCCACACUAAAGGUGGUUCUCUAGGAAUAUCAAAAUGUAUAAGCUUAGCAUAACAAUCAACCAAAGCGUAACAUGAUGCCAACCAAUUCAUACCCAUAAUCACAUCAAAAUUAGUCAUUGUUAACACAAGUAAAACAACUAUAGUGUCCUUACCCUGAACAGACAUCACAUAAUCUCUAUAAACUCUAUCCACUGAUAAGGUCUCCACCACUAAAGUAGUAAUAAUAUAUGGCUCAACAAGAGUCUUAAUCCUUCUCUCUAAGAAUAAAGCAAAAGAUGGGGACACAUACGAAUACGUAGAACUGGAAUCAAUAAGAGAAUAAGCCUCAUAAGAGUUUACAGUGAUAAUAUAUGUGACCACUGUAUUAGAUGCCUCGAUGUCCUGUCUAGCCACAACAAAGAAUCUCGGUGGUCUACCUGCUGCCUGAGAACCCUGAGUACCUUGUCAACCCUGUCCACGAGCACCAUGUGGAGCGUUCCUAGCUGGCUGGGCGUGACCAUAAGUAUCUGCAAUAUCUCUCUGUAUUUGAACAGUAGUUUGACUAGAACCAGAAUUUUCCUUAGGACAAAACUUAGCAAUAUGCCCUUUUUCACCAUAAGUAUAACAAGGACCGCCAACUCCAAAAUAAUGUCCACUAUGAUUCCUGCCAUAAUUAGAACAUUUCAAAUGCUGCCAGGACUGAAAGAAACCGCUACCGUUCCUCUAUAUCUGUUGUUGUUAUCCUUGUCUAGCUGGAUAACUAUUCCUUCAAGAUUAUCCCACUGACUCUGACUGCGUAGGCCUAGACUGUCCAUGAUCAAAACCACUCUUGCUCCCAGACGGAGCACCACUAAACCCAGCUGAGUUACGUGCCUUUUUAUUUUCUUGAUUAAUCUUUUCCAUCUCAUAAUAGGACUCAGAAUGAAGAGCAGUGUCAAACAUCUCAGAAUAGGAUCCAUUACGCACAUCGCGUAUCACUGGACUAGGAUAACGAGCCUCAAGUACAUCCAUAAAUCAUCUUACUUUCUUUCUCUGAUUUGCAACUAAAGAUGGAACAUACCUGGACAACUCAGUAAACUUAGCUUCGUACUCAGUGACUGUCAUGAAUGCCUGCCGUAACUCAUUAAACUGACAUCUCAUGUCAUCUUGUUUGCUCAAGAGAAUGAAUUUGUCCAAGAACAUAGCUAAAAACUCUGACCAAGUGAUUGGUGGUAGCCCUGCUUGUUUGCCCCUCAAAACAGAAGUCCACCAAGCCUCGGGAGACCCUGAGAAUAUAAAAGAAGUAAAUUCUGCACCAUGAGUUUCCUUCAGUCCCAAAGUAGUCAGUAGGUUCUUGCAGAGAUCUAAAAACUUUUGAGGCUUAACAGAAAAUGGUGUAGAAUCAAAAUCCGGUGGCUUAAGAUCCAGGAAAUUCUUCAGAUCCUUGGGUUGCCUUACAGCUCCAAUUGAAUGAUCAACUGGUAGGGGUGCCUGAGAGGUUACAACAUUCAACUGAACUUGUGCUUACGUCUGCGAAGUAGCCUGAGGAGCUGGAGUUUGACCUUGAUUAGGAACCAAUGCCUCAAGUAAAUUCAAUAUUCUUACCACUACGUUUGCAGGCAAUGUAAUAGUAGGUGCUGCAACUGGAACUGCAGCUGGAGUAUCUCAAUCAACCUGGUCUUGCGCUUGCUCGGAAGCCACAACUUUAGACUGGUCCCCAUUCCUAACUCCAAGUUAUGCACUGGUCUGCAUCCUAGUUUGAGGCCUAGUUGGAUGAGACCCAGCUCGACCACCACCACAUGUAGGAUCCUGUCCAGCACUACGUCUAGCAGGUGCAUUAGAUCAACUAGCGGAGGAAGAACCACGUCUCUUAACCAUCUGCGAAACAAUAUUUAAAGGUUAGACUAAAUUCAACUCAAUGCAUGAAUAAUGAAUAAAAAGAAAAAACUUUUUAGAUAUUCCGUAACCUCAAGUUCAUAAGUAUGGGCGUCUACAUUCCCAUGAAAAAGAAUCUACUAAACACUGCUCUAUGACCCGAGACCUAAAUACUACGCUUUGAUACCAACUUUGUCCCAUCCCAAAAUAAUUCCUAGGCGUGACUGGCUCCCGAUAACACCACUUGCUGGUAGAACCAAUUUUCUAUACAUUCACAAUAUUUACAAACACUAAGAUAAAGACAUGUGCAACUUCAAAUGCGUGAAAAUAUUAUUAAACGCAAAGUAAUCAUCCACCCGAUUACCGUAAUACGAUUUAUGAAAACAACAAUACUUAAAUAGUAACUCUCCAGCCUCAAAUCCCACACCAAGACCAUGGAGCAUCUAAACAAAGUUACAUGAGUUCAACUUUUGGGCAUGCAAAUCCAACAUAAGAAUUAUAAUAUAAAAUGACUAAGCUGGAUGACUGCCUCCACAAAUAAUGUGAAGGCUCACCUUAGCAACAGAAUCCACACGUAAAGACUGUCAGCCACAAGUUUCUCUCUCCACAACCGUAGCUGUAGGUAUGCAAGGAAUGAGUGAGCUAUAUAAAUAUAACUCAGUAAGGUCCUCGACCUGCUACUUUAAUACCCUUAGAACAAGUGUUAAAAAAUACAAGGCACAACAAAAUACGCAAAUAAUAUGUACAUAAUGUAUCUCAUAAGGUAAUCCCAAUAAGAUCCAAAAGAAAGUUAAAAAAUGUCACUCUAUAUCUCAACUCAAUCCACUCUCACGACUUGUCAUAAACGGCAGUGAAGGUGAUCGGCCUAACACCCCGAUAAGUCCACGACAGUACAUAUAAUGCCCCAAGAAGUCUGCUACGGCAGCAUGUACAAGCCCCCAACAUAUUACAGCAACAUAAAUAAUGCCCCUAACAUAUUACGGCAGCAUAAGUAAUGCCCCUAACAUAUUACGACAGCUAUGUAUGCCCCUAGAGAGUAUAACGACAACGAAGAAAAAUAUGUUCAACACCCCAACAUCACCUCACACAUUAUCACGCACUAAGCAGCUUUCACUAAACUUUACAAAUACAUAUCCACAAAUAAUCAAUACCACCAAUUCUACCAAGUCGCACGCUUGUUCUAGCACAUGGACUAGGAAGAGAAAAAAAAUAAUUAUUUAAAGCAGUUUAAAAAGCAAGCAUCAAAUUUUAAAGUCUCACUUACCUCGAAUGCACAAUUCAAGCACCACCUUCUAGUAAAUCAAAAUAUGCUCCCAAAAACUGAAAGCACCUUAAACUACACCAAAAAUGGGGUUUAAUAUAGUCAAUACCCCAUCAAUGAUCAUCCCGUAAAAUUUCAUAGAAAGACAAAUAUCAAAGUCUAUCGCUUAAUCCAAUUACUCAAAUUAUUUACUUCUACCAUUUAAAAUGCAACUGCCAAACUUGCAUCCAAGUAUGCAAAUUUUCAAGUCAAACCACUACUAUGUUCCAUUUAAACGUUUGACAGAGAUUAAUAUGAAUUUUACUACUGCAAGAAAGGAAAUUGUCAAUUUAGAUUAUAAUAUUGCACUUUUCAUUAAGUGAUUGUCAGUCAAGCCACUGUAAAGAAGUUAACCUUUUAUGUGGUUAAUCUUUAGUUCCACAUUCUUGAGCAUCUGGUGCUCAACAGAACAAAGGAGAGUGACGUUCAAGUUACACCAUAAAAGUCCAUUAGAUGAUGUCACGCCUCAAAUCCUAUUGGGGUGGACUGGCACCCGUAAUCGAGGAGCCCCGGAAGAACCAGCUCAUAACCUUAUACUUCCCAUGCAUACCUCAAUGACAACCCAAAAUUCAGACAACAUCAUGUCGCAUAUAAAAGGAAAUAAUCACCUAUAUAAGCUCGAGCACACAUAUAUAUGUAUAUACAAUACUUGGCUAUUGGAACCAUCACGUCUAUUAAAAAAAUACCACAUUGACUGUACAUUAGGUCUACAAAGCCUCUAGAUAAUACACAGAGUUUAACUAAGGUCGGGACAUACCCCGCCAUAUAACUAACUUCUAUACAAUACCAAAAGUGACUGGAUAUGACACGGAAAGCCCAGAAGCAAACUGGAGCUCACCAAAAGCAGCUGGAUAUCCUGGCUCCUACUUGUGUGGUGUAUGAGCUGAGGUACCUGUGCCUGCAGCAUAAAAUACAGGUCCCCCAUGGGGGACGUCAGUACGAAAUAUGUACUGAGUAUGUAAAGCUGUAGAUAAUCACAUAUGAUAUAGAAGCUCAAUAGAAAUAAAAAACAAGUGAAUAAAUCGUAAUAGGAGUGGACCACACUUACUAGAAUUUGUGACAACCUGUACAUUAUAUUUAUUCAAUCACCUUACCUUCAUUCUUAUCAUCUUUGUAAUUAUUACUAUACUGUAUUGUGACCAUUAGGCUACCUCCAGUACAUAUCAACUGGGAUCGACCCAUGAUAGGCUUAUGCCUUUGGGAUACCACCCAUAAACACAUAAAUAGGGAUCAACCCAUGAUAGGCUUAUGUCCCUAGGAUACCACCNNNNNNNNNNNNNNNNNNNNGGGAUUGACCCAUGAUAGGCUUAUGCCCCUGGGAUACCACCCGAUAAGAGAGAACUUUCAUCACUUAGUUCAAUUAAUCUUUGAUAUUGUUAUUUCGGUCGCCACCGCAUUUUUGAUUCUUUGAAACAAUGAUACAUCAAUAAGAGACAUAUAAAUAGACCAUCAAUGCAAUAACAAUGAAGUAAGAACUCAUUGGCACAUCAAUGAAGUGUUUUGGAGUCAUCAAUGCCAUAACCAAUAAAGUAGAACUUAUUGGUAUAUCAAUGAAACAUUUUGGAGUCAUUAAUAGCACAUGGAUCUUGUUUGAUUAACCGGAUACCUUCUGACAUUCAUUAGUGCAAUAAACAUGUAAGAUUUGGAAAACAAGUAAGUAUUGAAAUGUCUUGACAUCUUGCAGGGUGGAGACAAGUUCAUUGGUAACGUAGGACAUCAUAUAAAACCAUGAUAGAUCACAUGUUAUUGAAUAACUUUGGAAACUUUCUUAAUAGAACAAUUGUUCACUUUCAUGCCAAAGAUAUGGUAUAGAAUAUGAUUUACAUACCUGACUGUCAACCUUUAAUACUAGUCCCAAAUGGACUUCUUGUCUUUUUGGAUUACUUAUCUACAAUGAACAUAUAUAGCAAUCUAGUAUUAGCAACCAAACAUCACAAUUUAAUUAUUUGAAUUCACCAAACUAGUGGUUAAUUAGUAAGCCUUAAUUACAUCAUAAAGGGUGUCACCUUAACCCUCUUGUACUCCAAUUACAUUCACAUGUCAUGCUUAUUCAUACAACAUCCUCCAAUAUCAAGUUUGGAUUCAUUUAUCCUUCCAACCAAUCCAUUAAACCAAAUUGAGCCAUAGACAUAAAUAAUCAUCAAUUCAAUAGUAUACCUCCAUAUCCACCUUCCAUAACUCAAUUACCAUAUCCACCUUCCACAAUUCAAUACAACCAAACCAUGCAAAAUAGUCCAUAACCCUAUUUUCAUCACCUUUCAAUAACAACCAAUACAUAUAAUCCUCUAUCACACAUAUACAUAUGGAAGAGAACAAAGGCAAACAAUAUUCAUACCUUAAAUUAACCUCUUGAUUAUGAAAUCGUGUUUUCACAAAUAAUAGGUGCCGUUCGAAGCUCUCGAGAUGACAAACCCAGUUAUCAGAUUACUUUGGAAUUUCUACGGUUGAAUCAAAAGUAAUUUAAAGGUCAAAUUUGGCUAGGGUUUGUUCUUUAUNNNNNNNNNNNNNNNNNNNNNNNNNNNNNNNNNNNNNNNNNNNNNNNNNNNNNNNNNNNNNNNNNNNNNNNNNNNNNNNNNNNNNNNNNNNNNNNNNNNNNNNNNNNNNNNNNNNNNNNNNNNNNNNNNNNNNNNNNNNNNNNNNNNNNNNNNNNNNNNNNNNNNNNNNNNNNNNNNNNNNNNNNNNNNNNNNNNNNNNNNNNNNNNNNNNNNNNNNNNNNNNNNNNNNNNNNNNNNNNNNNNNNNNNNNNNNNNNNNNNNNNNNNNNNNNNNNNNNNNNNNNNNNNNNNNNNNNNNNNNNNNNNNNNNNNNNNNNNNNNNNNNNNNNNNNNNNNNNNNNNNNNNNNNNNNNNNNNNNNNNNNNNNNNNNNNNNNNNNNNNNNNNNNNNNNNNNNNNNNNNNNNNNNNNNNNNNNNNNNNNNNNNNNNNNNNNNNNNNNNNNNNNNNNNNNNNNNNNNNNNNNNNNNNNNNNNNNNNNNNNNNNNNNNNNNNNNNNNNNNNNNNNNNNNNNNNNNNNNNNNNNNNNNNNNNNNNNNNNNNNNNNNNNNNNNNNNNNNNNNNNNNNNNNNNNNNNNNNNNNNNNNNNNNNNNNNNNNNNNNNNNNNNNNNNNNNNNNNNNNNNNNNNNNNNNNNNNNNNNNNNNNNNNNNNNNNNNNNNNNNNNNNNNNNNNNNNNNNNNNNNNNNNNNNNNNNNNNNNNNNNNNNNNNNNNNNNNNNNNNNNNNNNNNNNNNNNNNNNNNNNNNNNNNNNNNNNNNNNNNNNNNNNNNNNNNNNNNNNNNNNNNNNNNNNNNNNNNNNNNNNNNNNNNNNNNNNNNNNNNNNNNNNNNNNNNNNNNNNNNNNNNNNNNNNNNNNNNNNNNNNNNNNNNNNNNNNNNNNNNNNNNNNNNNNNNNNNNNNNNNNNNNNNNNNNNNNNNNNNNNNNNNNNNNNNNNNNNNNNNNNNNNNNNNNNNNNNNNNNNNNNNNNNNNNNNNNNNNNNNNNNNNNNNNNNNNNNNNNNNNNNNNNNNNNNNNNNNNNNNNNNNNCCUUGGUCGCACCACUCUGAACGUUCUCCUUAAGCUGUAAUAAAAUAGGAUCUGCAUAUUGCUUCUCUUUCACUUCAGCUACUAAUGAAGAUUCCGCAACAUUAUGUAUGAUAAGCUCUUUAUCUGGAGUUUCAAGAAGGCAAACUCCCAAACUAGCUAACUGGUGAAGAUCUUUAAUCAUCCCUUGCCUUUCUAUAGGCGCCAUCACAGCCUUACGACUUAACGCAUCAUCUACCACAUUUGCUUUCCCUGGAUGGUACAAGAUAUCAACAUCGUAGUCCUUUAAUAGUUCAAGCCAUCUCCGCUGCCUUAAAUUUAGAUCCUUCUGAUUAAAAAUAUAUUGCAAGCUCUUAUGGUUAGUAUAUAUAUCAACAUGAACCCCAUAUAAGUAGUGGCGCCAUAUCUUUAAAGCAAAAAUAACUGUUGCCAGCUCAAGAUCGUGUGUAGGAUAAUUUUUUCUCAUGUGGCUGCAAUUGUCUAGAAGCAUACGUUAUUACCUUAUCCUGCUGCAUCAAUACACAUCCUAAACCAAUUCUGAAAGCAUCAAAAUACACUGUAUACCCUUCGGUGCCUUCUGGAAGUGUAGAAAUCAACUUGUUCUUUAAAUCUUAAAAACUCUUCUCACAGGCAUCAUUCCAUUGGAAUUUGGAUGCUUUAUGGGUUAGCUUGGUUAAGGGUGCUGAAAUGGAAGAAAAGCCUUCAACAAACCUUCUAUAAUAACCGGNNNNNNNNNNNNNNNNNNNNNNNNNNNNNNNNNNNNNNNNNNNNNNNNNNNNNNNNNNNNNNNNNNNNNNNNNNNNNNNNNNNNNNNNNNNNNNNNNNNNNNNNNNNNNNNNNNNNNNNNNNNNNNNNNNNNNNNNNNNNNNNNNNNNNNNNNNNNNNNNNNNNNNNNNNNNNNNNNNNNNNNNNNNNNNNNNNNNNNNNNNNNNNNNNNNNNNNNNNNNNNNNNNNNNNNNNNNNNNNNNNNNNNNNNNNNNNNNNNNNNNNNNNNNNNNNNNNNNNNNNNNNNNNNNNNNNNNNNNNNNNNNNNNNNNNNNNNNNNNNNNNNNNNNNNNNNNNNNNNNNNNNNNNNNNNNNNNNNNNNNNNNNNNNNNNNNNNNNNNNNNNNNNNNNNNNNNNNNNNNNNNNNNNNNNNNNNNNNNNNNNNNNNNNNNNNNNNNNNNNNNNNNNNNNNNNNNNNNNNNNNNNNNNNNNNNNNNNNNNNNNNNNNNNNNNNNNNNNNNNNNNNNNNNNNNNNNNNNNNNNNNNNNNNNNNNNNNNNNNNNNNNNNNNNNNNNNNNNNNNNNNNNNNNNNNNNNNNNNNNNNNNNNNNNNNNNNNNNNNNNNNNNNNNNNNNNNNNNNNNNNNNNNNNNNNNNNNNNNNNNNNNNNNNNNNNNNNNNNNNNNNNNNNNNNNNNNNNNNNNNNNNNNNNNNNNNNNNNNNNNNNNNNNNNNNNNNNNNNNNNNNNNNNNNNNNNNNNNNNNNNNNNNNNNNNNNNNNNNNNNNNNNNNNNNNNNNNNNNNNNNNNNNNNNNNNNNNNNNNNNNNNNNNNNNNNNNNNNNNNNNNNNNNNNNNNNNNNNNNNNNNNNNNNNNNNNNNNNNNNNNNNNNNNNNNNNNNNNNNNNNNNNNNNNNNNNNNNNNNNNNNNNNNNNNNNNNNNNNNNNNNNNNNNNNNNNNNNNNNNNNNNNNNNNNNNNNNNNNNNNNNNNNNNNNNNNNNNNNNNNNNNNNNNNNNNNNNNNNNNNNNNNNNNNNNNNNNNNNNNNNNNNNNNNNNNNNNNNNNNNNNNNNNNNNNNNNNNNNNNNNNNNNNNNNNNNNNNNNNNNNNNNNNNNNNNNNNNNNNNNNNNNNNNNNNNNNNNNNNNNNNNNNNNGUGUGGACACUUCAAAUGGCUUAACUAACAGUUCAGGUAUUCUUUUGAACUUUUCAGCAACCAAUGGAGUAACAUAAGAUAAUGUAGAACCGGGAUCAAUUAAGGCAUAUACAUCGAAUGAAAAGAUAGACAACGUACCCGUAACCACAUCUGGGGAAGCCUCUAAAUUCUGUCGAUCCAUUAGAGCAUACGUACGAUUUUGAGCCCUGCUAGAACUUGUGGCUCCUCUAUCACCUCUAACAUGACCCAUUGGUUGUGCACCCCUUCCUAAAUAAGGCAUCGAUGAUGAUGAUGCAACAAAUAACCCCGUAGGUUGUGCCAUACCUCCUAUGCCCCUUCAUGGGCAUUCUCUCAUCAUAUGCUCCGAUAACCGCACCAAAAGCAAAUAUUGGUACCCAGUCGACAUGCGCCCAAAUGAUACCUUCCACAUUUAUUGCAUGGCUCUCGAGGAGGUCUCGAUUGGCUUAUAUUCCCUUGCCCUUGGUACCUCACUGUCCGCAAACUCUGAAUCUCACUUCUGUGCUCAAAUUGAUUUCCUCUGGACCCUUGGAACUGCGGUUGGGCACUAGCUGCAGAAUAAGAAGAUAAUGGCCUAGGUGGUCUAGCAAAAAAUUGUGGUCUGAACCCUCCUUGGGAUGCCAUGAACUGCCUUGUAGAUCUGGUCUCUUGGAAUAUCCUCUUUCUAAUUCCUGUGUUUUGCUCCUCUGCCUCUGAUCUUUCAUUUUUUGUGCAAAAGCUUGGAUCCUCGCUAUGUUCAUAUCUUUGUUCAAAGCAGCAAUAGUACAAUCUCUAACCAGAUAAGGAUCCAGCCUAUCCAUAGAUUGAUGAACUCUGUCAUCCAUAGUAGCUACAGUAUUAGGAGCAUAUCUCGACAAGGAAUUAAAUGAGAAACUGUACUCCGUCACGCUCAUAAUCCCCUGACGGAGAUUUAAAAAUUGAUCUGUACGGGCCUGAUGAAUCUCGAAUGGAAGAUAAUGAUCAAAAAAUGCCUCCUUGAACUCUUUCCGAGUAGCUGGGGGUGCAUCAAUACCCCUAGAUCAUUUCCAGUCCUCGUACCAAUAUAUAGCCUUCCCUUUCAAUCUAUAUGCCGCUAACUCCAGUGUCUCUCUACCCGUUACAUGCAUAACAUCUAAGGCCCUUUGAAUUUGAUCAAUAAAGUCCUAUGGGUCCUCGUUAAGAUCUGAUCCAAUAAAAGUGGGAGGAUCCAUCUUACAAAAAUCCUGUGUUCGAAGGCUAGCUGCCCUAUCUGUACCACUAGGACCCGUGGUACGAAUGGCUUGCCCUUGAGCUUGCCCAGCAACUAUACUAGUCAAAAGUUGCACUGCAUUUCUAAGAUCUUGAUCAGCAGCAUUAAUAGGUGGCUCUGGGGAUAUAGUUCUCCUCCCCCUUAUUUUUUCUGGAGUGGAAGAAGUUUCUGAUGCAUGCUCAGCUGGAGCCUCACUUUGAUUAGCUGGUAUAGUGGGUGACUUACUAGUCCCCUCUUCGGCAACUACAUCUACUUGCUUACCCGUAUUCUUGCUUCUGGUAACCAGCAUCAUUACUAUAAUAAGAGAAACAAACGGAUUCAAUGGUCAACUAUGGCUUCAUAUACAAUAUAGGCUCUAUCACACGAUCUAAGACAUGAAGAAAAGAGACAAUUCCUAAAUGUCCAUAGCCUCCUGUUUAUAGAUGCGGUGCACAACACACCAAUAAACAAGACUCUAGGUAGACACGGCUUUGUAGACUCACUAGGAUGAACUUCUCUGAUACCGCUUUUGUCAUGCCUCAAAUCCUAUUGGGGCGGACUGGCACCCGUAACCGAGGAAGCCCAGGAUACCUCUAUGAAAACCCAAAAUUUGGACAGCAUCAUGUCGUAUAUAAAAGGAAAUAAUCACCUGUAUAAGCUCGAGCACACAUAUAUAUGUAUAUACAAUACUUGGNNNNNNNNNNNNNNNNNNNNNNNNNNNNNNNNNNNNNNNNNNNNNNNNNNNNNNNNNNNNNNNNNNNNNNNNNNNNNNNNNNNNNNNNNNNNNNNNNNNNNNNNNNNNNNNNNNNNNNNNNNNNNNNNNNNNNNNNNNNNNNNNNNNNNNNNNNNNNNNNNNNNNNNNNNNNNNNNNNNNNNNNNNNNNNNNNNNNNNNNNNNNNNNNNNNNNNNNNNNNNNNNNNNNNNNNNNNNNNNNNNNNNNNNNNNNNNNNNNNNNNNNNNNNNNNNNNNNNNNNNNNNNNNNNNNNNNNNNNNNNNNNNNNNNNNNNNNNNNNNNNNNNNNNNNNNNNNNNNNNNNNNNNNNNNNNNNNNNNNNNNNNNNNNNNNNNNNNNNNNNNNNNNNNNNNNNNNNNNNNNNNNNNNNNNNNNNNNNNNNNNNNNNNNNNNNNNNNNNNNNNNNNNNNNNNNNNNNNNNNNNNNNNNNNNNNNNNNNNNNNNNNNNNNNNNNNNNNNNNNNNNNNNNNNNNNNNNNNNNNNNNNNNNNNNNNNNNNNNNNNNNNNNNNNNNNNNNNNNNNNNNNNNNNNNNNNNNNNNNNNNNNNNNNNNNNNNNNNNNNNNNNNNNNNNNNNNNNNNNNNNNNNNNNNNNNNNNNNNNNNNNNNNNNNNNNNNNNNNNNNNNNNNNNNNNNNNNNNNNNNNNNNNNNNNNNNNNNNNNNNNNNNNNNNNNNNNNNNNNNNNNNNNNNNNNNNNNNNNNNNNNNNNNNNNNNNNNNNNNNNNNNNNNNNNNNNNNNNNNNNNNNNNNNNNNNNNNNNNNNNNNNNNNNNNNNNNNNNNNNNNNNNNNNNNNNNNNNNNNNNNNNNNNNNNNNNNNNNNNNNNNNNNNNNNNNNNNNNNNNNNNNNNNNNNNNNNNNNNNNNNNNCCGAUAAGAGAGAACUUUCAUCACUUAGUUCAAUUAAUCUUUGAGAUUGUUAUUUCGGUCACCACCGCAUUUUUGAUACUUUGAAAUAAUGAUACAUCAAUAAGAGACAUAUAAAUAGACCAUCAAUGCAAUAAAAAUGACGUAAGAACUCAUUGGCACAUCAAUGAAAUAUUUUGGAGUCAUCAAUUCCAUAACAAUGAAGUAGGAACUUAUUGGUAUAUCAAUGAAACAUUUUGGAGUCAUUAAUAGCACAUGGAUCUUGUUUGAGUAACCGGAUACCUUCUGACAUUCAUUAGUGCAAUAAACAUGUAAGAUUUGGAAGACAAGUAAGUAUUGGAAUGUCUUGACAUCUUGUAGGGUGGAAACAAGUUCAUUGGUAACGUAGGACAUCAUACAAAACCAUUAUGGAUCACAUGUUACUGAAUAACUUUGGAAACUUUCUUAAUAGAACAAUUGUUCACUUUCAUGCCAAAGAUAUGGUAUAGAGUAUGCUUUACAUACCUGACUGUCAACCUUCAAUACUAGUCCCAAAUGGACUUCUCGUCUUUUCGGAUUACUUAUCUACAAUGAACAUAUAUAGCAAUCUAGUAUUAGCGACCAAACGUCACAAUUCAAUUAUUUGAAUUCACCAAACUAGUGGUUAAGUAGUAAGCCUUAAUUACACCAUAAAGGGUGUCACUUUAACCCUCUUAUACUCCAAUUACAUUCACAUGCCAUGCAUAUUCAUACAACAUCCUCCAAUAUCAAGUUUGGAUUCAUUUAUCCUUCCAACCAAUCCAUUAAACCAAAUUGAGCCAUAGACAUAAAUAAUCAUCAAUUCAAUAGUAUAUCACCAUAUCCACCUUCCAUAACUCAAUUACCAUAUCCACCUUCCACAAUUCAAUACAACCAAACCAUGCAAAAUAGUCCAUAACCCUAUUUUCAUCACCUUUCAAUAACAACCAAUACAUAUAAUCCUCAAUCACACAUAUACAUAUGGAAAAGAACAAAGAAAAACAAUAUUCAUACCUUAGAAUUCACCUCUUGAUUACGCAAUCCUGUUUGCAUAUAUGUACACAUAUUUCCGUCCAUAAUAUCAUAGGGAAUGACCAAAGUGCCUUUAAAAUUUAAAUAAUGUCAAAUCUAUCCUUUGAUGGACUGUUUUGAUAAGCUAAAGUAGAUCGACCAUAACUCUUUGCUCCGAUAUCGGAUUUGGGUGAUAUUGGUAUCGUUGGAAGGAUAAUUCAAAGGGAUUUCAUUUCAUAUAAAGUAGGCCACCCAGUUCGUCUUGUACAAGGAGUUAUGGUCGUUUGAAGUUGACCCUAAAAAUCUGUUUUGAUAGGCUGAAGUGAAACGAGUAUAACUCGUUACUCAGACGUUGGAUUUGAAUGAAAACAAUUGCAUUGGAAAGAAGACUCAAAGAUCUUUCUUUUCAUAGGUCGCAGCUCUCCCAGUUCAUUAUAUUAAGGGAGUUAUGAUCGUUCAAAGUUGACCCAAAAAUUCGGCUAGCCUUAGUAGUUUGUGUGCAGGAAAUUUUCCUGCACAUUUACUAUUCCCAAAUAUCCCGGCCACCAUUUUAUAUUUUCAAACGUGCUCGAUUAUAUCCGAAACCUAUCCGUUUUUGGAAAUCUUUAUAUCAUUGGAAAGCUUAUUCAAUAACCUUCACAUGGAACCAUCGACGGGCAAAUUCUGAUGUAAAUAAAAUAAAAAAUUAAUUCCAUAUAAAUAAGACCAAUACACGUACUUGAAUACGCCAAUACACGUACUUGAAUACGGGGUGUUACAGAUAAUGACUAACCUUGCUAAGCCAUUAGCCAAUCCUAAGUCUCAAAUAAUCUUAUUCUGUCACUUAAUAUCAUGAACAAACACCUGCACUACUGUACACAAAUUUUAAUUCCAUGCUAAUGAACAAUGGAAAAGUUUCAUACUUUAAUAACUGAGAAGCUUUAAUCCCACCUUUAUGUUCCCCAACCUAUAUAGUUUUUUUCCUCCUAUGUUGUCUGUUGAUUUUUUCCAAGGAUAAAGGGAGCAAUAUAUAGCCCUAGAAGUAUACUUAUAAUGUUUUAAACGUGAAAACUGAAGAAGGCUUUUGGCUUGUCCACUUUUAAUUUUCUUAAUUACCAUUAAUAAUUAAUUAUAAUUACCAAUUAACCCUCAUUAAAAAGAAAUAAUAAGCUGGCUAUUUCAGUCUUUUAGGAAUUUUUUUUUAACUUUUUGAAAGACUUUUUAAAUAUAAUUUUAUAUCCCCAAUUUUUAAAAGCUAUCAAAAUUAUUCAACUCAACUAAUUUACCUACAAGAUACAAUCAAAUGUGAGAGGAGACAAUAAUGUUGUCUUUGUUGUUGGUGUUGCAUAAAGAGUCACAAUAAUAGACGAAUUAAGGUUCCAUCAUAUCACGAGGACAUUUUGAGAAAGAAGAAAAAAUUUAAAGUUGUCUUCAAUUUUGAGAUUUUUUAUCAAUGAAAAUAGAAAGAAGUGGAUAAUGUGGUAGUUAAACAUUUAACUCCGAUUAUUGAUUGAAAUUAAUAGGGUAUUUUUGUAAAAAUAAAAAAAUAAAGUCAUUUGUAAUAAUCAAUAAAGUUGAAAUUGAAGUUGGAAAAAAAUGAAAACAAGUAAAACUUGUUGUCACUUUUCCAAAAAUAAUUUGAAACUGGAUUUGGAAUUCUCAUGGCCAAACACCCAAAUUUUCACGAAAGUGAAAUAAUUUUUCGAAAAAAAAUAAAAAAAUUCUUAUGGCCAAAUGGGUCCUUAGUUUCUUGUUCUUAUUUCAUUUUUGCUUUCUUUCUUUAGUGCGAAAAAUUGAGAAAUAAAAAAGAAAUAAGCGUGAAUGAAAAACAAGAAGGAAAAAAGAAAUUAAAAUUAUUUUUUACGGUCAUAUUGUAAUUCAACUUUUUGUAGCUGAGAAAAAAAUUGAGGCAUCUAUACUAGAUUUUACAGAAGAUGAGUGAUUGUUGAAUUAAAGAAGGAAAAAAAAAAUAUAGGUGAGAGGGAUCAAAUACGCCUCAAAAAUUUGUGAGAGAGGUAAACAUAUUCUUGUAUGAAUUUUAUUUUAUUAAAAUAAUUAAAAUUUUUUUAUAGCAUUCUCUCACUUCCGUCAAUCGAAUAAGUUAUAUCUGCACCAUUUGAGAAGGGUUUAUAUCCGAGAGGAGUUUUUAUAUGUUUCUUUACAAAAAGUAUAUCAAUAAUAUUAUAUCAAAAUUAUCAACAUCAGUAAUAGACACUUCACAUUAGUUAAAAUUUAUCUAUCACUCAAUUCAUUUUUUAAGACAUUACAUUUAUAAUAUUUAAAAAGUGAUAUAUUAAAAAUUACACAUUAUUUAUUACUUCUUAACAUGUAUACCAAGUCAAUAAUGGAUAAAUAUUAUUAGACAAGGAAAAUAUAUAGUAGCUAAUAUUUCUUAGAUCGUAAAAGAGAAACUUAAGGGAAAAAAAUUAAUGCUUUCAUUAGCUAACUAAAAUGUAAAAAAAAAAAAAAAAAUCUAAAUCAAAUGAGAUGUACUAAUUAAGCAGCAUAAUCCAUAUCCAAAAAGAAAAUAAAAAAAUUAAGCAGCAUAAUAGUUAUUUACAAGGCCAGUGAAAAGAAAAAAAAUUAACAAAACAAAUUGCUCAUUGAAACGAUAUAUUCUUGAUUUUCAUUACUAUCCUCAUCAACUUGAGCACUAAAUCCUUACGAACAAAGCAUGAAACGAUUCCAAUUAAAAAAUAAAUAAACAUUUAAAUAAUAUAUGGUUGAGUUUAUAUUCCUAGUUUUGAAAUCUACUGAAGUAUAUAUAAUACGUUUAUAUACUUGUUUUCAAAAAUAUAUAUAGUAUAUUUUUCAGAAAUACAUAUAUUAAAUAUGUAUAAUACUCAAAACAAAUAUAUUUGGCUACGAAAAACAAAUAUAUAAAAUACAUUUUUCAGAAAUACUCCUAUUAGAAAUAUAUUAACACUCAAAAUAUUUAUAAUACUUCAUUUUCAGAAAAAGAAUGCAUUGAACUUUGUGGUUCCUUCCCAUGUUUGACUAUGGAAACUAUCAAUAAUUAAUUUCAUUAAUCAUUUUUAAUGAAUUAGAAAUAGGAUGGAAUUGAAGAGAAUAUUAAGGAAAGGAAAAAUCCUUUUGGCCAUAAAAAUUUGGCCAUAAUAGUAAUAAAUUCUAUUCACACUAUAAACUAAUUUCUUUUUUGGACAUUUUUUGCCCCUUUCAUCUUAAAUUUAAAAUUUUUUCAUUACUUAUUUUAUUAUUCUUUCCCAAUACAUUGAAAACUAUCCCAAUACAUGAGAAUGGACAAAUUAACAUAAUUUUCAUAAAUAUGAUUGCAUAGUACUUAUUGCUUGAAAAGAAUAGUCUAGGAUAAAAAUAAUAAUAUAAAAUUAAUUAAUUAUAUUCUCAUAUAUCCAAAAUCAGUGUGACCAAAGUAGUAUUGUCUGAAAAUUUUAAUUUAACAUUAUAUAUUUAUAUAUCAUAUCUACUUAAUUAUGUGUUUUAUCAUAUAAAUAAUUCUUAAUUUUUUAAUCCUUAAUUUUAAAUUUUAUAUCUCUUUAUUUUAUAUAGAUAAAUAGGAGGUAUAGAUAUAUAUCUUAAAACCUAUCAAUAUUUUGAAUAACUUUUAGUUUUUUUGUUUUUGUUAAAAUCUGCUUCGUAGUUUAGUAUUACAUAAAAUAAGUAAUUAUUGAAAUUUCCAACAACAAAAGUUAAUUAUUUUUUUAUGAAUUCAGUUAUACAAUUUUAAUUAUGCUAUAAUUUUUUUCAUGAUGAUUCAAAUAAUUUUUUUUUCAAUUCAAAUAUUUUCUAUCUAUAUUUUAAAAGUAUUCUUUCUUUAAAAUUUAGAACACAAAAAUUAUUUGACGAUAAUUUUUGUGUACUAUUAGAAAAUAACAAAGUAAAGGACAUAUAAUAGCUAUAAUAGUGAUUUUAUGAAACUGAUUUAAGACACAUAAUAAAUACUAAUUCUCAUAGUAAUUGAUUAGGAUAAGCUUGUGCCAAACUUAUUAAAAUUUUGUUAGAUUUGAUAUAAUUAGUUAAUCAAUAUUAAUAUAAUUACUUAUUUUGAAAAAUUACAUUUAAAAUUUACAAGCUAUAAAAUUGAAUUCAAUCGUCGACAACUCUAAUGACACUUCAAAUACUCUAUAUGUGAGACAAGGCUAUCAAUUAAUUUUAAUCGUGGAUAUAUAUAUGUAUGCUUAAGAUACUGAAAUAGCUCAUUAUUGGUAUUAAAUCAAUAAUAAUUCAUACAAGAUAAAUCUUCUAAUCGAUAAUUAAGUAAAAAAAAUAAAAUUUAAUUUAUUCAUUUUUCUUUUAUAAAGAGGUUUUUUUCAUCCAAAAAUUGACUAUAAUUCUUACAUAGAUUUCAUUUUAAAAUACUGAACUUCUAUCGACGCCAUUGCAAUAAAAGUAUUAUUAUCGAACAAACAUAACGUAACACUUAGUGAUUUUUUUUUUUUUAAAAAAAUUAAUAUAAUUAGUUGAUUAAAAGCAAUUAAAUUUAAUUAUUCAUUUAUUUAGAUAUAAAUUAUUGUAUAAAUACACUUUUAUCAUUAUUAUGUUCAGUUAUUAAUCCUUGUUCAACUAACAAUAAUUACAUUUGCAGCAAUUAUUAAUUAAUUUAAUUUAAUAAUAGACCACAAAAGUAUUAUUCCAACAAAUAAUAUUUGAGAUUCAUAACAAUUAUCAAAAUAUUUGAUCAAGAUAAAACUUAAGUUUAAACGCAGUAAAAUUUUAUUUAAAUCGGCUAUAAUUAGUUAAUUAAAAAUAAUUACAUUAUAAUCACUGAUCUAUUAAAAUUAUAUUUUAAAUUUACUUGUAAGACUCGGUAAAAUUGUAUUACAUCAAAUGAUUAAAAAUCUAAUUUAAUUAGAUCGACAAAUAUAUUAUUGUGAUGAAACUUAGUUUUUGAUUUUAUUAUAAAAAAAUUAAUCGCUAUGUAGACACAAUAUAAAUUUUGUAUUGUGUUUUUGUAAUCUUUUUUCAAAGAAGUUUAUUCGACCUAGUUAACAACAACCUAGGAGAGUACUAAUAAAUUAAUAUUGUAGUUUUUGUGCCCUUAUUUUAUGCCGAUUUGACAACUUAUGAAUCAUUACUUAUAUUUUCGAUUAAUAUGAGCCCUAAAUAAGUAAUUUUAUAAAUUAUUAUGUUUGAAUAAAAUUUAAGUUAUAUAUAUAUAUAUAUUUUUUAAAUAUAACUUUUAAAUAUUUCAAUAGCAACACUCAAAAUUCAAAGUACUUUAGUUAUGAUAGACAUUGACAUAUUAUAGAAAUCACGAAAAUUAUACAAUUCAUAAGUGUCGACCCUAAUUAUAAAAAUCGAGCAUACGUAUGCUAUAUAUUAUGAAAAUGUUACACCUAUACUUUCCGUAAUAUUAUACCUAUUUUUUAAACAUUUUUUAAAACAACAACAACAACAACAAACCCAGUGUAUUCCCACAGCAUGGGGUUUGGGGAGGGUAAGAUGUACGUAGUCCAUACCGCUACAUCUGAAGAAGUAGAGUGAAAACAAAUUAUUACUAAUAGUUAAACAAAUUAUUACUAAUAGUUGGUUUAUCCUAUUAAAUAAUUUGUAUUAUUUCAUAUCACACUCAUUAGACACAAAAAAUAUAUUUUAUAAAAUAAAUAAAUUAUCCAUUUGCUAAAUUUUUAUUUUAAAUUAUUUUCAAAUUUAAAAUAAAAGAAAAAAUAACAAUUUAGCGUCUUUCAUCAAUUUCUCUCCGAAUUAAAAGGUGUCGCAUGGAUAUUUAGCCUCUUUCAUCAUUUGAUUUUUCUAUUACUAUUUUAGUUUUUGCUUUUUAAUCUUAAUUUUUUAUUUUACAUUAUUUAUGUUCCAUUUUCUUUCUUUUUAUUUGUCAAUCAUUACUUCUUGAAAUUUUAUGUUAUGUAACAUAUUUUUAUUAUUAUUUAUUUAUCUAUUUCUUCAUCAAGCAUAACUGAUUAACUACACUACUAUUUUAAUUAUUGAAUUAAAAUAGAAUUUUAUUGUUGAACAAGGUUGUAGAUUCAUAUUUCUUUUCUUUUGAAUUAAAUUACGUGGGUCAUACAAAAUUAUCGAAAAAUAUGAAUCAAUUAUUUUUAUAAUAUUAGUUAUAAAUAUAUAUUUAAUUACUAAUAUAUUUUUAACAAAUAAUAUAUGUACCUAAAAUACCAAUUUAGUAUCAUUUAUUAGGGUUAGUUGCUAUCAAAUACGUGUCUUACUUUAGACAUAGUAGACAUCUACACAUUACAGAAAUAAAAAAAUUCAUAUAGUUCAUGUGUGUCAAUCUAGUUAACAACAAUCCUAAAAAGUUGUCCGCUAAUGUUGUGAGGGGCUUAGGCUCUCAUGUUACGCCAAUUUGAUAACUUGUGAAUUAUCAUUUAUGUAUGCUAUUAAUAUGACCUCUAAUUAUUAAUUAUUUUUAAAUUAUUUUUAUAGUAGUGGUGUCCGAGCCAACUAGCAAUAAAUUUAAACUAUAUAUUUAAAUAAUUUGAAUAAUAACAACAAUCAAAAUUUCAAACACACUUUAAACAUAAUAGACAUCGACACAUUAUAGAAUCCUAAAAAUUAUACAGUUCACAUGUGUUGACCCUAGUUAACAAUAACUCAAGAUAUCAAGACGCUUUAAUGUUAUAGCCUUAGAUCCUUAGGUUAUGCUGAUUUGAUAAUUUGUGAAUCAUUACUGAUAAUUUUUAUGAAUAUGUCCUUUAAUUAAGCAAUUUUAUUAAAUAUUUUAUUUAAAUAAAUUUAAAUUUUAUUUUAAUAAUUUUUAAAUAUAAUUUUAAAAUAUUUCAAUAUUGACAAUCAAAAUUCAAGACACUUUAAACAUGGUAGACAUCGGCAUAUUAUACAAAUCGUAUAGUUCAUAUAUUUUGAUCCUAGUUAACAGCAACUCAUGAGAGUCAUGCAUUGAUGUUAUCGUCUUACGUCCUUAUGUUACGUCGAUUUUAUAAUUUGUAAAUUAUAAUUUAUAUUUGUUAUUCAUAUGAUCUCUAAUUAAGUAAUAUUACAUUUAAAUAAAAUUAAACCUAUAUAUUUAGAUAAAUUUUAAAUAUAUUUUAAUAUAUUUCAUUAACGUCAGUCAAAAUUCCAAUCAUUAUACACAUAAUAGAUAUUGACACAUUAUAAAAAUUAUGAAAAUCACAAAAUUCACAUUUGUGGACCCUAGUUAACGACAACUAAAGAUAUCAAAACGCAUUAUUAUUGUAAUUUUGUACCUCUGUAUUACGAUAAUUUGAUAACUUGAGAAUAUUACUUAUAUUCACUAUUAAUAUAUCCUCCAAUUAAAUAGUUUUAAUUAAUUAUUAUAUUUUAAUAAAUUUAAACUAUAUUUAAAUAAUUUAUAAGUCUAAUUUGAAAAUAUUUCAAUAAUGAUAAUCAAAAUUCAAAUAUUUUAGACAUGAUAAACAUUAUCACAUUAUAAAAAUCAUAUUUUUCACAUUUGUUGAACCUAGUUAAUGUUUUAAUAAAAAUACUUUUGUGAUAAACUCUAGAAUGAAAUGACUUUUAUAUAAUAAAUAAAUAAAUAAAUAAUUUUCUGUGAUAAAUUCAAAAUUUAGUUCACCAUUGAUGACCUUUAUCCAAAAAUGUUUUAAAGAAUUAUGAUCAAUAUAUAAUAAAAUUAGUUUUAAAUUUCGAUAAAAAGAAAGACUAAAGAGAAAUUGAGUGAGAAGGACAAAAAGAGAGGGUGUGAUUGGAUAGAAGGUGAAAUUAAGGUGAGUCUCUCAUUUUAAAGUUAAAUAAAUAUUCCUUUUUCAUAUUUAAUGAUAGUCAUAAUUUAUUCAACAUAAAUUUUAGUUACAUUUAACUUCUUGAAUUUAGAAGAUAGUAAAGAUUUAUUUAUUUUUUUAAAGGAAAAGGUUAGUAUAGUCUUUAUAUAUUUAUGAUCAUUUUUGGGUAAAAAAAUUAUGGAAAAAAAUAUGUACUCUAAUUAAGUAAUUCUAUUAAUUAUUAUAUUUAAAUAUAUUUAAAUUAUAUUUAAAUAAUUUUUUAAUUUUGUAAGUUUAAUUUGAAAAUAUUUCAACAUUGGUAAUCAAAAUUCAAAAUACUUUAAAUAUAAUAAACACUGGCACAUUAUAAAAAUUAUAUUGCUCGUAUUUAUCAACCCUAGCUAACGUUUUAAAGAAAUGUGUUAAACUUUAGAAUUGAAUGACUUUUAUAUAAUAAUAAAUUUAUUAUUGUGAUAAGUUCAAAAUUAGUUAAUCAUAGAUGAACUUUUUCUAAUAAUAUUUUAAAGGAAGAUCAAUUAUUAAUAAUCGUUGAUGAACUUUUCUAAAAAAUAUUUUAAAUAAUUAUGAUCAAUGUAGUAAUAAAACUAGUUUUAAAUUUUGAUUUAAAAAAACAAAAGACUAAAUUGAAGAUUGAGGGAGAUGGAUGAAAAUAUGGGUGAAGUUAGGUGGGUCCCACAUACUAAAGUUAAUUUAAUAAUUUUCUUCACAUUUAGUGAUAGUGAUAACUUAUCCCACAUAAAUUUUACUCCAUCCAUUUCAUAUCAGUUGGUGGAUAUGGUACACCCAUUAAGAAAAUAUUAAUUAAGAAAUUUAUUUUACCAAAUUAACCUUAUUAAUUAUGCUUUGAAAAUAUAAAUAUGAGUAAAUACACUUCAUUUAGUCAUUUAAUGUUAAGAGUAUUAUUGGAAGAUAAUAAUAAAAUCCUCUUAAUUUCAUCAAAGGAACAACUAAAUUGAAACAAAUAUUUUUAGAAAAAAGACCAACUAAAACGAAACGGAGGGAGUAAUUGCAUUUAAUAUUAAAAAUUUACUUCUUUUUUAUUUAAGGAAAAGGUUAGUAUGGUCUUUGUAUAUUUAUGACCAUGUUAUGGUCAAAAAAUUAUGGCCAUUUAGCAGCUCCCAAUUUGGGCUAAAUUUUAUGGCCGAAAGGAUUUUUGCUUAAAAAAAACAUUUGUCAAGCAGUAGACAUGUCUUUUUUACAUUAAGGGGUUGUUUGGUAGAGUGUAUUGAAAAUAAUAAUGCAUGUAUUAAUUAAUAUGUAUUACAAGUAUCUUGUUUGACAUAAUAUUUAGUCUAUGUAUAACUAAUAUUUCUAUUAGUUAUACACUGUAUUGUGUAUUGAGAUGUGUAUUAAUAAUACACACCAUUUCUCAUGUAUUAGCAAUACAAAAUAUUUAAUACAUGCAUUAACUUAUUAAAUAACAAACUUACCCCAUGAAAUAUCUUUCAAUUCUUUUUCCCACAUAAUUACAUUUCCCAAUUUCAUUUUCCCACCAUUUUUGGUUGUAAAAAGUUUCUUCUUUCUCUACUCCUUAUAUCACUUUCCAUGGAAAAGAGAGACUAAUUUGGAAUGCUAUCAGAGUCUUUUGCUAAGUUUGAUUGUUUAGCAACUAAUAGCAGAAAAAUAAGUCUUUCAAAUUCAAUAAAUUGAUGAUGAAAUUUUGGUGAGAAUAUUUUUUUUUAUGAGCUUCUUGGUUAUCCAUUGUUUUCUACAUCUGCAAUAUUUUUCUAGGUACAACAUCUUUACAUCUGCAAUAUUCACACAUCCAUAGAUCUGUAGAUGCAUUACAACUAUUUAUCUUAUCAUGAGCUUCAUAAAGCAUGAGACCAUUCUCCAUCUUUAUUCCUAUUUAUCUUAUCAUGAGCUUCAUAAAGCAUGAGACCAUUCUCCAUCUUUAUUCCGAUCAAAAUACCGUCAAAUUUAUUGCAAGGCUUUUGGAAUAUAGAGAAAAGUUGAAAUUGAAAUUUUUGUUUAGCUGCUGCUACUUGCUUCUGCCUUAAUGUUCAAAACAAGAAUUUCAGUUGAAAAAAAGUUUCAUAAAUUGUCAAUGAACUCCAUAAUUUCAUAAAAUAUUUGAAGAAUUACAUAUAGUACCAGGAAGUUCCCAAGGUUCACAUUUGUUGAGAUCAACUUCAGCAAUAGCACGAGCAGUAAAGUCGGAAUCCAAAACUUUCUUCAGCAAAUAGUAAGUAAUAAGCUCUUCAUCAGUAGGGUGAGAAAAAAUUGGGGGUUUUGUUUUCAAGAGAGGCUUAUGCUACUUGCUUACCUUAAAAAGAGUGUGUAUAGAGAAGGGUAAUUUGGUAAACAAAUAUUCUUUUAUAAAAUUUAUUUCAAUAAAUAAUAUUAUUAAUACAUCAAAUCAAACAUUGCGUAAGAAAUAAUUUUUGCAUAAUUGAUAUCAGCAUCACUAAUACUUGCAUUAAUAAUACAAGUAUUACUAAUACACCUUAUUCAGCAUUAAUCUUAUACACUCUACCAAACGACCCAUAAAUGGGAGCAGGGAGGGACACUGUGAAUUGCUCCUGCUGUUACAUGGAUCAAAUACAAUCAAUUAAGCCUUAACAGAUACAAUUGUUCUCUCUAGAUAUUACAAUGAUAUGCAUUCCCAGGAAAAAGAAGACGAAGAUUGUGUUCGCUAGAAUUGAUGAAUGCUAGGCAUAAAUGCAAUCAAUUGCUUUACAUGGAUCAAAUACAAUCAAUUGCUUUACAUGGAUCAAAUACAAUCAAUUGCUUAACAUAGAUCAAAUACAAUCAAUUACGCCUUAACAGAAUGACAUAGUACAAAUGUUCUCAGCAGAUAUUACAAUGAUAUGCAUUCCCAGGAUUUGUCAAGUCAACCGUGAGUGUUGAGGGCUUCCCAAAGUAGAUUCUUUGGAACAGGUUUAGUUAAAUCCCGGGCCUGCAAAGCAGCAGUUCUGAGGGUGGUGAUGGUCAAAGCAUUAGCCUUGAAGAAGGAGGCAGAAUUGUAAGGUAAGCAAUGCUUUAUACAGAGGUCUUUGACAAAGGGAGAAACCUUUCUGAGUUGGCAUCUUGGUAAUCUAGGAAACAAAUGAUGCUCAAUCUGAAACUGCAAUCCACCAUGAAACCAAUCCAUCCAACUAGGGCAUGAUAUGUUAAGAGAGCCAUUAGUUUGCUUCUCAAACCAAUCAUUACCUUUAGGUGGGGCAACGUAAAUCUCAGAUGAGAAAUGGUUCAAACAGAAUUGAACAUGCUGAAUUCCAGUCACUGUGAAGCUAGCAAUAACAAACAUAAUUCUUUCACCCCAAUUUGGCAAGCAAGAAACAAGCAACGGAUACCAAAUCCAGAAUGAAAUCACCCCCAAAAUCUCCUCAACUCUAUGGGGCACAUUUUUGUUGGAUAACAACAAUAUGAAUGACUGAGCAAACAAAUUGAUUCUAGCGAAACACAUAACAGGAUAAAAUGUCCAAUGUUGAUUACUGACCAAGUAUCUAGUAAAAGAAUCAAAAGUCAUCUUCCUAUCGUAAAAAUAAGAAGUUAGUGAAUUGAAAAACUUGGAAGAUACCACAAAGAAUGGCAUGUGCUGAAGAUCAGGAUCAUAUUCAAGACUGUUGCAGGCAAUAUGGUGAGCAUUGUGGUUCCAUUUCCACCAAGCAAUGCUGAUUCCAGCAAUGCAAUUCCCAGUGAGGACUUGAGCAAAUCUGUUGAGCCCACGGGUGCUCAUUACCUGAUAAUGCCCUGAAUCAUGACCAAUCCACCCACUCUGAAUCCAAAGACACCCCAACAAUCCACCACUUAUCAUAUGUGCCAACAGACUUUGACAACACAAGAUUCCAUAAACACUUGUAGCAAACAACAUUGCCAUUAAGCACAUGGUGAAUAAACAAACAUGGCCUUUCUUUUCAUACAACCCCAUUUUAGUGAACUCAGAUACAAGCCUUCUAUAAUCCUUAGACACCUCAGAAGCAGAAUAAUCCUCGAGGUAAAACCCAUUAAAGAACUUGUCAAGAUACUUCCAAGCAGUAGCAGGAUGGAAUGCAACAAAGGCAUCAGUGACAUCCUGACCAGCAAGGUUCAACAGUGGGAAAUCACCACCAGGGUGUUCCUUUACCCAAUCUGAGACAUCAUACACCUUACCCUGAAUGGAUAUCCACAGAUCCCCUGGUUUGUUGUGAUUCUUCAGUUCCUCACUGCUAAUGUACUUCCUUGAAUCUUCCAUAACAAAAGAGGCGAGAUCUGGGAAAGACCCUUGAGAUUCAAAAUUUGUAAGACCACAAGAAAAAAGCUGUAAUCUUGAAUUGAAAUACUGAUAUCUCUCUCUACCCUUUUAUUUUUAGGCCACAAAAGAAGACAUUGUGGGGCAUAUGCAGGGAGGGGCCACAGAACAAAUAUCUUUUUCCGAAUAAAUUAAAAAGAAAUGAGCAAAAUUCUAGCCUGUCUCAUCCAAAGAUAUUUUGUUUUGGGGGAGUGUAUUUGAGUGAAGUGAUGAAGUGAGCUGGGGAGGAACGUUCAGAUUCUUGAAAUGUAGUGGCAAUGGGCCUCGGGGGGUUAGGCCCAUUGCUGUUAGCAGGAGGUCUUAUUGUAGUCAUUUUGCGAAUUGUCUCACGUGGUUCGCGCCAUUCCUAAACAUCUCCAUUAUUCCCAUUCUAUAUAUAUACAGUACUUCUUUAAUAGAUAAUCACUAUGUACAAUGUAUAAUCCCCAACCCAACCCAACCCAAACAAUUUCUGACAUAACUGACCUUUGACUCCUGUCUUCCUGAUUCUUGACCAUUGAGAAAAACAUUAUCCAAGUUUUCAUUUUUACACUUACCCAGGUAACAAACCAUCAAUUUAUCUUAUGGGUUUUUUGUAUUUUUGAAAAUUAUUUCUGGGUUUUAAUGUUCUUGUUUUUUUUUGACCCGCUAUGUAUUUUUUUUUUUUAGUGAUGAGUUUAUAGCCUUUUAAUUGAAUUCUAUGAUCGCUUGAACUAUUAAAUUGUACUUUUUGGUCUGAUGAUUUGGACAACAACAACCACAUACCCAGUAUAUUCCCACAUAGUGGGUAAAGUGUACGCAGUCCAUACCACUAUCCGACAGGGUAGAGGGUCUGAUGAUUUGGACGAUUGGACUUAAAAUUAUGUUAUACAACAAGGGUAAAUUGUUGAUGUUUGCACUGUACAGUGGAAGUCUCUGCAAUUGCCAAUUUUCAAUUACUGAGUUCUGUGUAAUUCAUUUAAGCGGAGGGUAAUAGGAAAUAGCCUCUCUAUCUCUACGAGCUAGGGGUGAGGUCUGCGUACGCUCUAGCUUCCUCAGACUCCACUUGUGGGAUUACAUUGUGUAUGUUGCUGUAGUUGUUGCUGAGUUCCAUAUAAAUCAUUUAAGCUGAGGGUCUAUCUUAAGCAGCCUCUCUAUCUAUACGAGGUAAGGCUAAGGUCUGCGUAUACUUUAGCCUCCCCAUACCCCACUUGUGGGAUUACACUAGGUAUGUUGUUGUAGUUGUUGUUGAGUUCCAUAUAAUUCAUUUAAGCGGAGGGUCUAUCGGAAGCAUGUCUCUAUCUAUAUGAGGUAGGGAUAAGGUCUGCAUAUACUCUAGCCUCCCCAGACCCCACUUGUGGGAUUACACUACUUAUGUUGUUGUAGUUGUUGUUGAGUUCUGUUUGAUUCUUGGGAAUUAUGAGGAGUUGUGAAGAUUGAGUAAUAAUUUAUUAACUUUUGAUCAGAUUAUUCAAUUUGUUUAGUGUUUCCUUUUUACAAUGAGUCACAAGGGCUGAGUUGAGGAAACUAAGUUUGGUCUUGGCUGUGUAAAGCUUAGGCUACAUGAAGAAUGUGAGAAAAGCAAAGUGUUUCUUUUUUUUCAAAAAAUAAGAAUUGCUGAAAUGAGGAUGUGCACUUUGAUUAUUGCCUUCGGAUAUGGAAGCUUCUCCUAGAGUUGCUACUCAUGUUUAAGCAAACUGAUUUAAUGGAUGAUGACUAUCUAUUACAAGUUCAUUAAUGAUAGUAGAAAUGAAGAAGAGCUUGAUAGAUUCUAGAUGUUGUUUAUGAUCUCUUGCAGCCAAACCAUUAAUCUAGGUUUAUAAUGUUCCGUAGGCAGUUUGUUCCUUAGUAACUUGGUGGCAAUAGGCAAUACUUUCGUGUUUACAUUUGCCUGUUGCACCGUCUAGGAAAUGUGAACAGGAAAAUCAUGUGCUUCCUCAAAGCUUCUCGUAGUUUAAAUCUCGCAUUUUCAAUCUUCAAUCUGGUAAUUUGAAGAAUUUUAUACCAAAUGUAUUGUUCGAUAGAGUUUUUAUCCAUCAAAUAUCUAGUUAUGACAUGGCAUGUGAUGCCUAAAUGGCUUAAUGACAUAUUUAGCAAUAGGGAGUGCUAACUGCUAAAUUUGUGGUGGUGUUGUCUGGUAUCAAGUGUUGAUCAAGAAAGAGAGUGGUAAAGAAAAUAAUCUUUAUCAUUUUCUAGUUAGAAUGUCAUCAGUUGUGUGACUUCGGAGUUCAUAUCCCUAUUCAGAAGAUUCGUUGCGAAACUGUUGCUGAGUUUCACUUUGAGGUGCUAAUCUACUGGUAGUGGAACUAGAAUCUUUAAUGUGCUAUAUCAUAGAUAUCUAUAAUGAAGAUGCACCCUGAGGCUUUUGAAGCUUUUAACACGGGUCUAGUUUAAGGGAUAAACAUCCAAAAAAUUCAAGUUUUGAUGUUAGUUCAAUGGCAGCUAACAAAUGAAAACCUGCAAAUGUCAGUAGUAACACACAGUGGCAGAUCCAGGAUUUACACUGAGGGAGUUUGAAAAAUAAAAACAAAGCGCUUGUGAUUUGAACUUGGAACCUCAAAAGGAAUUUUGAACCCCUAACCCAUUGAGGCAACCUCUAGUCUUGUGUUCAGGGGAUUCAAAAUCUAUAUCUAUCUAUCUAUACACACACACUUUUUAAGAAAGCCUUAUAUAUACCGUGUAAUUUUUUGCCGAAGGGGUUCGGGUGAACACCCUUAUCCCCUCUUUGAUCCGCCUCUGGUAACAGUAACACAUACAUGAAAUACCUACUCAAAGAUGAGAAUGAGAUCAUACAAAGAAAUUGUAGCCACUGACAAGGCAAUUAUUCAUCUCGGUGCAUGAGUGUAACGAACCAAUGAAGGCUGAUUAGGAUUUUUCAUAUAAUAUGUAGUUCUCAAUAGAUUAUCCUGUUUAUGCAAGUUGCAAGCAGCAAGUUUCUUAUUAGCAUUAUAAAUGAAAAAAACGAUACUAAGUAUGUCUUUGUGAGUGUGAUUUAAGCUUUGUGUAGCUAAGGUCAUUUCUGAAAUGGUUGUAAUUCAGGGUUUAUGUUCAGAUUUCGCAAUCCUAUACGGUUGCUAAUAGUGAGAGGUGUUUUCUCAUAGUCAUGUCUUGUAAAAAUUCGUCACUCUAAUGGGGAAAUGGUUCUUGUCUCCUUUAUGUCCUUGAUGACAACGAGCUGCUUCAAUAUAUAUAUAUAUAUAUAUAUAUAUAUAUAUAUAUAUAUUGUUCAGAUUUCGCAAUCCUAUACGGUUGCUAAUAGUGAGAGGUGUUUUCUCAUAGUCAUGUCUUGUAAAAAUUCGUCACUCUAAUGGGGAAAUGGUUCUUGUCUCCUUUAUGUCCUUGAUGACAACGAGCUGCUUCAAUAUAUAUAUAUAUAUAN